UUUUUUUUUUUUUUGGUGUAAAUUAGUCUCUUCUCCAAUAUGGACGCUCAUCUUUGCCAAGCUUUCUAAGCCCUUUAAUAGUUGGAGACUAAAUAAUAGGUUGAUGUCAUGGUGUCGUUGCAGCAAAUAAAGAUUUGAGUAAGCAGUGUAGCCAAAAGUGGAGCUCUUAGUCUGGUCUUUUCGGUAAUGAGCUCAUUUCAGAGAAUCAGCAACACUAGGAAGAGGGAACCUUCAACCUAUGCAGAAAUUGUCCUCUUAAAGGCUCAAAUUCAGGUUUUAGAGCCACAAGAAAUUGAACCAAACGUUGCUCUUCCCGGAAUUUUAUAUAUCAGUCCAACCUUGUCAGUUCUGGUGGCUCCAUCAUAGCCAAUUGAUCCCAAAUUCGAGUCAUCAUAGAAUAGAACUCCUGAAUUGUCCGGUCACCGUGAACGGUUAUUCUGAAUGUCAUUCUCCAACUUGUACUUCCGCGCAAAGUUAAUUUGAAUGCACAGCCUUGCCAAAUGAUCCCAAACUUCCUUUGUCGAACUGAACAUCGCUAGGUGCACGCGAAUUGAUGGCUCCUGUAAUGCCCUUUGCCUGCUGGAUUGGCCUAAUACCUUUUUAAGCUGAAACUGCAGGCUCAAAAUGGUCCGUCAAAAGUUAUUAAUAAUCCGAUGAGCCAAACGUUAUAUACUAUUCCGUUUCUUCUCUUGGGUUCGAUGUGGUACAUACAAUCUCACCACCUUUAGAAGAUUGCAAGCCUCGCAAAUCUCAUUACAAAUCAAAUUGUUCACUCGGUUGUGCACAAAUUCUAAGCUUGUUAGAAUUCAAACCAUCCAUUUGACCAAACUCACCUUGCGCAAAAUCCAUAUGAGAUUCACUCUGAUACCAUUUGUAAUGGUACCGCGCCUGUCGGACUGGCCCAAUACCUUUUUGAGUUAAAACUACGAGUUCAAAAUGGUUAAUCCAAAGUCAUUAAUAAUUCGGUGGACCAGACAUUAUAUACUAUUCUGUCUCUUCGAUUGGAUUCUGUUGGAGAUCUAGGCAUGAAAUAAAUGACUAUCGAGAUAUUAAGAACACAAUAAGUUAAUGAUAAACAAGUCACAAGUAUAAAAGAUAAACAACACACAAAAUUUAACGUAGUUCGCCUCCAUUAUUAAAUCUACGUCCAUGGAUAGGGACCUCUUCUUUAUGAAAAUCUUACUCAAGAAUACAGUUUGAAUCUAUGUCCAAUACUUGUAUACCAUUUCUCAUCUAUCAAGAACCAUUUCUCACCCCAUGUAAAAGGUUACAUGUUGUCCUUGUGUGCCACUUUGGAGUAUGCCAACCUCUGCCUAUUUAUAAACUAGAUUACUUGGCCAAUACCCAAGUAAUAAUAGGAAAUAACUUAUAAUUCCUAAUCUGGUAUAGAAUAGGAAAUAAUCCUUGAUUCCUAAACUCAUACAAAAAGGAAAUUCUUUGGUUACUACUACAAGUAACUAAAACCAGUAAGAAAACUAAUUAUUUCGACACAAAAGAAGAAAAUUGUUUAAAGGAAAUUAAGCCAAUUUCCUAACAAAUCGUCAUCUUGGCAAAUAUUUCUUUUAGUAACCAUUUGCCUUCAACUAGCGAAUAAUAUGGCACCGAACUACACAUUUGAAUUAAUACUCAUAGCUAUUAAGACAGUUUGUUGGGGAUCUAUUUGCAGAAUAAUCGACUACUAAGACAUAAAGAACAUAACAAUUUAAUGAUAAACAAGUUAUAAAUAUGAAAGAUAAGCAACACAUAGGAUUUGACGUGGUUCAUCUCCAACAUUGAGCCUGCAUCCAUAGAGAGAAGCCCAUUCUUUAUUAUGAGAGAAAACGUUUAUACAAGAAUAUAAUUUGAAUCCAAACUCAACCCUUGUAUAUCAUAUCUCAUCUCUCAAGAACCCUCUCUCCCCCAUAUAUAAGGCUACAUGUCAUUUUUGUGUGCCAAUUUAUAGUAUGCCAACCUCCACUUAUUUAUAAGUUAGAUUACUUGGCCAACACCCAAGUAAUAAUAGAAAAUAAUUGCUAAUUUCUAAUUUGGUAUAGAAUGGGAAAUAACUCCUAUUUUUUAAAUUCAUACAAAUAAAAAAUUCCUUGGUUACUAUUACAAGUAACUAAAACUAAUUUAAAAAUUAGUUACUUUGACAUAGAGUAUGAAAUAUGCUUGAAAGAAAUUAAGUCAAUCUCCCAACAGGUUGGAUGUGGGCAAUGUUUUAAGAACCGGACCGUUAAUUGAACCGGUGAAGUGAAAGGGUCGAGAUUCAACCAGUCGGACCGGUUCAACCCCGGUUCAAUGAAUUUUUUUAAAAAUAAUUUAUAUAAAUAUAUAUAUGCAUAAAAUAAGACAUGUAAUGGACUAAUUUAAUACUUUAUAUGAUGAAAAGUUUACUAUUUUUUAAUAAUUUGGAUUUUUAAAAAUCAAUUUUUUAAAUUAUAAGUUAAAACAAAUAAAUUUCAUCUCAAUUUCAAUUAUAUCUAAAUCCAACCAAAAAAUAUCACAAUAUUUUGAAAUUAUACAAAAUUCACGUAUAUGAGAAUUUAGAUAUUGUGAACUUAAAUUUUAAUUUACGUUUUGGGAUUUAGAGAUUGCAAUUUAAAAACGGAAGUUUGGAGUUUGAAGAAAGUCAAGAGAAUCGAAAAUAUAAAUGUAAACUUGAUAAGAAACAAAUAAUGAGAUAAAAGUGAGUGGUCAUGGCAUUAAAUAAUUUGUGUUAAAAAAAUAAUUCUUUUUUAACAUUUUUCAAUUUAAUGGACAAAACAAAUUAAAAGAUGGAAGAAAACAUCAAUAAAUUAAAAAUAAAGAAGUUUGAUUAAAAAGGGAGUGACAAAAGAAAAAAUGAGAGAGAGAGAGAGAGAGAGAGAGAGAGAGUUGAAGAUUAAAAAGAAAGAGUCAUGAGAGGAUGAGAUUUUGUAAGAAAAAUGGAAAAAAGAAAUAUGAGUGUUUGUUUUAUAUAAAUAAGUUAUCAAAAAAAAAUUAAUAAGAUGUGAUGGUGUAAUGGUUAAUACAUUAGUCUUCUAUUACAAAGGUCUUGAGUUCGAAUCUUGAUAGCUGUAUUUUGCAAAACAAAAAAAAAAAAGGGGAAAAUUGAAAACUGGAAACCACCGGUUCAAUCCGGUUCGCCAGUUUCCACGGUUUGACCAAUUUUUGACAGAUUUUCUGACAAAGUCAACUAUGACAUAGAACCGGUGCCAUGGCCGGUUCGCGGUUCAACCGGUCGAACCGGCCGGUCUGGUCCGAUUUUCAAAACAUGGGACGUGCGACAUUAACUCUACACAAUUGUUUACCGUAAUGAUUCUAGCAUUGAAUAUUUCCCACUCAGAAUUUAGCUUGGUAGAAUUUUUAGUCUCUUUAGUUGGUUUCACUAUUGUUUGAAUCAACAUAGUUCCCAACGUCUUUACCUACUAGAUAAUUCUCAUCAAAUGAGCCCAAUAUGAGUAAUUGGAGCCAUUUUAGUUGACUGAAAUAACCUGAAUUGUGUGCAGAUUCUUAGUUACCAAUUAUCAAACAGUUGGUGAGAAUAUUGGAGAAAAGACUAAUUUGCACAAAAAACUAUUUCCAGAGCAGAGCAUAGCUAGAGCAGAAGAAAGAAUAAUAGUCACAGGACCAGGAUCAAGUAUUCCUCAUUCAAGUACACCUUCAGUUGCUGCACUGUCAACUGAAAAUGCUUCAUCAGCUAUAGGAUCAUCUAAUAGCUGUUCUGGAGAUGGAGGUUUAACUCUUGAAAUGGUUCAGUGAUUAGUAACUCAGCAAUUCAAUCAGCUACUUGGUUCUCCUCUCACAAAUGCUACUUCUGCAACGUCCGUUACUACCACUGGGUCCCAAAAUUCAUCCUUCUCAGGUAAUUCUUUGUCAACUUGGAUUCUUGAUUCUGGUGCUUCUUACCACAUGACAUUAAGCUUAGGAAAUCUACAACUUUGCACUCAACCUUACAGUUCACACGUCAUUCAUACGGCUGAUGGAUCUCCAAUGGAAGUUCAUCAAGUUGGAAAUAUUCACUCGUCUUUCCUCUCUAUUUCUAAUGUCUUACAUGUUCCAAAGCAAGCUGUCUCUAAGUUUCAUAUCUGUCAAUAAACUUACAGAUCAUGGUUGUGAUGUUCUUUUUUCUUGUCAUGGUUGUAUUGUACAGGAUCGGCAUUCCAAGAAGUUAAUUGGGGCCUGGUGUAGAGAGGGUUCACCUUUUAUUUUGGAAAAUUUGUACCUUCCUUCUUUUGCCUUCUUUGCUUCAGGUGUGACUAAUUCACCAUCCUGGUGUUACUUGUGGCACCAUAGGCUAGGACAUGUCUCAAGUUCCCGCUUAAAAUAUAUGUUAUCUGCGUACUUUUAGGGAAUGUGAGUCAUGGUGAUAUAUCUGAUUGUAAAGGAUGCCAUCUUGCUAAAUUUAGAUGUGUUCCCUUUUGUCAUAGUUCUAUAAAAUCUCAUGCUCCACUCGAUCUUAUUCAGUCUAAUAUUUUGGGCCCAUCCCCUGUGCCAACUAAAGAUGGAUCUAUGUAUUAUGUUUGUUUUGUUGAUGAUUUUACACGUUUCUGUUGGGAGUAUUUGAUGACACAACAACUUCAUUCCCGAUUUACCAUGAUGAUGGAAACUCGAUUUGGUAAAAAAAUUAAGAUUUUUAUGCCUGAUUCAACUGGAGAGUAUACAUUCUCUCCUUUUCUUGACUUACUUACCUCUCAUGGUACUGUUGCUCAGUUGUCUUGUACUAAUACUCAAAAAAAUGGAGUCGCUGAGCAAAAACACAGAUUUAUUGACUUACUUACUGAAACAGCUCGUUCACUAUUUGAUUUUUGCCUUAAUUCUAAGCCCUUUUUGGAGGUGAGGCAAUCCUCACUUCUGCUUAUUUGAUCAACCAUAUUCCUUCCUCUAUAAUUCCUGGGUGCUCACCUUAUGGUGUCGAACCUGAUUAUUCUGCACUACGAGUAUUCAGUUAAGCUUGUUUUGUACUUCUCUCUAAACAUGAGUGUACAAAACUUGCUGCUCAUCUGUUUUGGGUGUCUUUCUUCGUUAUGGAAUUGUGCAAAAGGUUAUGGGUGCUAUGAUCCAUAAACCAAAAUGCUUCUUUUAUCUAGAAAUGUCUCUUUUUCAGAACAAGUACCUUUUUUCUUAAUACCUAAGUCUUCUCAAGUUUCUUCAAAAGAAAGCCUUGUUAUGCCAGAUCCUUUCUCUGAUACUACUUUGUGUGACUCUUUCUUUCCUGAUAUUAAUGAAUCUGAUUUAAAUCAUACUACUUGUAUGCAUAUUUCACAAAAAAUUGUAAGUAGUUUAUCUGAUUUGGACCCUCUCUUGUGCCUAUGUCUAAUACUUCUUCUGUGGAGAUUGUUCCAACUCAACCAACCACUGUUCUCAGGCACUCAACUAGGAACCAUAAGUCCCCUACGUAUCUUCAUGACUUUCAAACUCAUUUUUUUGCAUCUUAUGUUUCCUUUCUUGCUUCUGUUCAUUCUUUUUCUGAACCACAGUCCUUUAGUCAAGCCAAAAGUCAUCCUUAUUGGCAGAAUGCCAUGAAGGAAGAAUUAUCUGCUUUGAUUAAGAACCAAACAUAGAAUCUAGUUACUCUUCCAGAGGGUAAAAUGGCCAUUGGUUGUCAUUGGGUAUACAAGAUAAAAACUUGCUCAGAUGGAUCCCUAGAGUGCUAUAAAGCUAGAUUGGUUGCAAAGGGGUAGUAUCAAGAAUAUGGAAUUGAUUAUGCAGAAACAUUUUCUCCUGUUGCUAAAUGACUUCUAUGAGUUUGUUAAUCUUUGUAGCUUCUACUAGAAACUCGUCUUUACACCAAAUGGAUGUUAACAAUGCGUUUCUAAAUAGGUUCCUACAUGAAGAAGUUUACAUAGUUCCACCUCCUGGACUCAACUCACCAAGUUUGCUGACUUCGUCGUGCCAUAUAUGGGUUGAAACAAGCACCACGUGCUUAGUUUGAAACAUUUGCUUUUGUUAUUCUUCAAAUUGGCUUCUCACAAAGUUCACAUGACUAUUCCUUGUUUUGUUUUCUUCAUCAUCUGAUUGUGGACAGAUUCUUUUACUUCUUUAUGUCAAUGACAUGAUUACUUGGAAUGGUACUUUGGUCAUUAUAAGAUUCAAGCAAAUUCUAUAUAGUAGAUUUGAAUUGAAGGAUCCCUUUGCGCUACUUUCUUUGCAUUGAAGUGGCCUACUCUCCACGAGGAUAUUUAUUGUGCCAAUCAAAGUAUGUUAGAUUCAUGAAUAAAGGAUUAUGUCUCACAUUGGUUCGAGAGAUGGAGAAAGAAUGGUUAAUAUGUAAGUAAGGGCACGGGACCUAAAAGCUUAAACCUUUGGGUCAGAAUUAGAUUCCUAACUUACAUGUUGGACUUUUUGGUAGGCUUUCUCUUGGUGUUUUCUCUCAAACAAGUCAUAUCAGAAUUUUAGAUUGCGAGAUUGGGUUACUCAUAAGUAAGUGAAUUUUUCUAAGAGUUAGACCGGUAAAAAUUUUCUUCUUGAUGGGGGACCGAAGUAUCAAGGAAUUUGGCUGGUGUUAGAUAGGUGCACUAUGGGUUUGGUAGGGAGUCCGGUUGCUAUUAGAUUAAAGAGUUAAGAGUUGGCAUAAGUCCAGAAUCUAGUUUGAAUAUUGAAAAAGAGUGGAUCUAUGAUAUUAUUGGAUGUUGAAAAAGAGUAGGUUCAUGAUGUUAGACCAAAAAAUCAAGGAUUGACAGGGAUCCAGAAUCGAAUUCAGAUGUUGAAAAAGAAUGAGUACAUGAUAUUAGACCAAAGAGUCAAGGGUUGGUAGGGGUCUAGAAUCCAAUUUGAAUAUUAAAGAAAAGUGGGUUCAUGAUUAGGAGAAGAUGUGACCUUAGGUGUUAAGAUAGACUUAUGUUAAAUAUUAAAGUGGAUUCGGAGAAAAGUUUGUAGACUUGGGUUUAAUGUGAGGGACUACUUAUGAAGAGGAAGAUUUGUUAUCCAUGAUGUUAGACCAAAGAGUCAAAGAAUGCCAGGGGUCUAGAAUCUAGUUUGGAUGUUGAAGAAAAGUGGGUCUAUAAUUGGGAGAAGAGGUGACGUUAGGUGUUAAAGUGGGCUUGUGUUAAGUAUUAAAGUGGGUUUGAAAAAGAGUUUAUAAAUUUGGAUUUUAUGUGAGGAGUUACUCAUGAAAGAAGAGAUUUGCUAGAUUCAUAAGUAAAGAAUUAUGUCCGACAUUGUUCCAGAGAUGGAGAAAGAUGAGUUAAUAUAUAAGUAAGGGUUCGAGACCUAAUAGUUUAAAAUUUUGGGUCAAAAUUGGAUUUUUUGGUGGGAUCUCUCGAAGUGUUUUUCCCUAACAAAGUAUGUUGUUGAUGUUAUUAAUCGAGCUCAACUCACAUAUCAGCAUACUUGUGAUACUCCUAUGGAACAAAAUGUCAAACUACAACCCACUAAUGGUGUAAUUCUCUCUGAUCCCACCCAUUACCAUCAAAUUAUUGGAUCUUUGGUCUAUUGAACUAUGACUCGCCCUGAAAUUGCUUAGGUAGUGAUAUGGUCAGUCAAUUUGUUUCUUCUCCUUGAUCUGUUCAUUGGGUAGCAGUUUUCGCAUUCUUCAUUAUCUUUGGGGUUCAUUGUUUCGCUAUUUACUUCUUCUAGCUACUUCCAUUUUUAAAUUUCAUGCCUAUUCUGAUACGGAUUGGGCUGGAGAUCCUAAAAAUAGGAGGUCUACUACUGGCUUUCGUAUUUUCUUUGGAGAUUCACUUAUCUCUUGGAAAAGCAAAAAGCAAACUGUUGUUGCUGGUUCUAGUGCUAAAGCAAAAUAUCAUAUGCUAUGUCUUAUACAACUGCUGAAAUUGUUUGGUUGAGAUGGCUGUUACAUGAUAUGGGAGUUGAAUUAUUUUCAGCAACACCCAUGUUUUGUGACAAUAAAAGCGCUAUUCAUAUUGCCCACAACUCGGUCUUUCAGGAAUGGACAAGACAAAUCAAAAUUGAUUGCCAUUUUGUACGUCAUCAUUUUCUCAAAGGGACAUUAUCUCUCCCUUUCAUUUCUAGAACUCUACAGCUAGCAGAUUUCUUCGCAAAGUUUCAUUCAGUUGCUUGCUUUCAUUUUCUACUUUGACAAACUUGAUGUUUUCAAACAAACCAUCUUGAGUUUGCAAGGGCUGUAAUGUAUAUAUAUGUAAACAAGUUUGUAAGUAGGAUUAUUUAUGUUAUUUGAUUAUAUUUGUAUAUAGAUAUUACUACAACUCUUGUCAAGAUUAGUUGUCGACUUUUGUGUAUACCAAAGAUGACAGCAGCUUUAGUUCUCUUCUAGUUUCUUUGGUUUCUGCUCAGUUACCUUAUUAACAAGAAGCAGAAAUGAUUGAUGGUGCUGAGAGGUUUUUGCGAUACACUCAAGUUUAACUCCAAAUACACCUAUUUUACUGCAAGUAUACAGGUCGUAAUUAUAAUAUAGAAUGUAUAAGGGUCAAUCCCAUAAGGAACUUUUAUCAAAUAUUAGGUCCUGUGACGACCCUACUUCUUCCAAGUGCGAACCCAAGGGUAUCAGCGGGACGCCUGCCCAACUCUCGUCAGGACUCGAUACAAUUCCAAUUCAAACUUAAGGAUAAAUAACUGAAUAAUAAAAGUCAAAGGUAUAAAGAAAAGUCACUUACUCAAAAUAUUUAAUCUUACAUCACAAGUUAUCAAAAGUACAUCAACAUUCCCCAAAAUAUACAACCUCCAAAAGUUGUCUAAACAAUUACAUUCAAAACCCUAAUCAAAAGUCCAUCAAGUUGGCUUCUCUAACUCUUUCCAUUUCGGCUCCUGUUAAGGAAAACAAAACUAAUGGAAUGAGCUAAUGCUCAGUGAGGCCAAGAAAACAUGCAAACACAUAGUUCAAGUAGCAAUAGCACUUAAGUGAAGAAUAAACCUGUAACAUUCAAUCAAUUCACAAUUUAAAAUAGACACGCUCAAUAAGGAUACAGGAGCUCUCAGGAGCUAGGUUCCACUUUUCUUUUUUUUUUUUUUUGUCAAAAAAGAGCUAGGUUCCACUUGCUUCACCAAGGCUCGAUCAAAUACUUUCCCGCGAUAACACUCUGUCAACAGGGUUGGUAUUAAGUAAGUAAAACUCCAUUUUCUUCACAAUUCCCGUUCACUGUUACAACCCCCAGUCCUGGGCCCGCUCUUCUAUAAAAGGCAUUACUACUCGACUAGGCCAAGCGAGAUCUCUUAAUAGAUCAAACUUACAAUUAUCUCAUGGUUCACCGAGUUUCUCGACCAAGCCCUUGUUGGUUCGAGUUGCAAGAUCAGCCAAUUGAGAUUUGGGUGUCCUCCAAUUACCGUUAUGAGUCGUUGAGAUUCACUCUAAUCGACCAAUACCGUUAUAAGCCGAUGAGAUUCGCUCCAUUUAGCAUUCAGUCAAUCAUAUACAAUUCAAUUAUGAGUAGUUUAGUUAUACAAUAAGUUAAAAGAGAACGAGUGCGAUAAUAUACACACUCGACUCGACAAUUAUAAAUCAUUCAAUCCAUAAGAAGCAAUUCACAUAACUUGCAACUAUUCAUGCACUCGACACUCACCACGUCAAAAAGUGAGUAAGUGAGCUAAUAAGCUUUUAGGCGUCUGCUCCGAGAUUCUCUUGAAGAUUCUUUUAAGUGCCUAAGCAAAUAACGAGUAACUUUCACUCACAAUCAUGAAUUAACCAAGCAAAAAUGUACACUUGUUUAGAUUAGGUCAAUGCCUUAAAAGAAAACCUUAAUAUCUUGAAAACUGAGGUUCAAAAGUUAGGAGUCAAAGUCCUAAGAGAGACUUGUCUCUUCCAUGAAAUCGAGUUUAAAACAGUCCAUCGAUAUCAAGACAAGGUGACGAGUCCUCAAAAACUCAUUUCAUAAGAAAUCGGAAAAUUUUAGUUUUAAGUAACAAAUUUGGAAAAAUCAAAUCUUGAGUUUGGUAUGUUCAAAAAUUGAAAACUCUAUACCACUGGAAACUAGGUUCGAAGUACUAAAAGUUCCUAGAAGACAUUUUCCAAGAUUCUAAACGGAAGACAUUCAUUUUUCAGCUCAAAGUUUCAGUUCUAACAAGACAGGUUUGAACCAGUCUUGGUUUUCUAGCAAUAUUUGGAAAUUCGACAUAAUUCACAAAAAGUGAAUCAGCUCUUGAAAUUAGUAACACAAUAAGAGUUCCAAACAAGGUUUCAAACAUGACAAACGGAACUAAAUUCAGAGUUUUGAGCGUCAAGAUAUAAUAGCUUAAAGUCGGCUCACUUUUGUACACUGAUCAAAAUUUUCCAGAUUUGAAGAGCCAUCUUUGGGUCAUUAUUUGGGUAUCAAAAUGUAUUGAAAUUAGACCAAAUUUGGUACACUUAAACUUCCAUACGUGGACUACCUCUCUAUCAAAUUAUAGGCAAAAAUUCAUGUGGGAAGGCAGUUAACAAAAUGACUAAAUUUCGUGAAAUUUUCAAAGCAAAUCUGCCAAGCCAUUCUUUCUUUCAUUCCAAAGAUUUUUGUCCAAUGAAAUCAAUCCCAAUUCACUCCAUUUUUGAAACCAAGGGUCUAGAAACAUUUAAUAAGUAAUUGAAAAGUAAUUGACAUCAAAAUUUUAGAAACAAAACAUCCCAAAACAAGUUUGACCAUUCGGUCAGCAAGAAAGGAAAAACUUCCAAUUUUCCAGCUUUGAUGCACUUUCAAAAUCAAACCACAUCUCACUCAAUACAAGUUCAAAUUAAGAAUGGUUUAUGGCGUUGUAAACUAGGUUCAAAAUGCUACAUUUCAUUAGGAAGAUUCAUUUUCAAAAUCAGUUCACAAGUGAGAUAAAAUCAAGCCACAAGAUGCAGCUUCUCCAUUUCUCUCGGACAGACAGUCACAACAGGACAGUCAAUUUUGCUGAAUCACUACGGUUGAAUCAAAAUGAACUAGCAGGUGAUUUUAAUACCGUUAGAAAUAUAUGAAUGUCUAGUUUCAAAUGCUACAAACAGUACUAGAUUUUGACUUUUGUACAAAGAGUUACAUUCAAACAAAGAGCUACUGUUUGGACCUCCUGAUCACAAAUUCCAAAUUUCUUCCAUUUUUGAAAACCCUAGUUUUGAACAACCAAUUGAAAUGAUUUUUGGUAGACACUUUGUACACAAAAUAUACGACAUAUAACCAGCAAUUUCACAGCCAAAUAAGCACCAAAAUUUCAAAUUAAAACAGAGCAACAUGGAUAGAAAAUUUCGGCUAGCUUGCAUUUCCAUUUUUCCUUCGAUUUCCCUCCACUUUCUAACCGUAAUUCUCUCAUAUAAUGCAUAAACAACAUCAACCGAGCAAUAGAUCCUCAAGGCAGCUACCUAUAAUCCACCUCAAGACCGCUAGCCUAGUGAUUAAAGCAAGAAAUGAAACACCUCAAGUCUUCUAACUUAUUUCUUGCUUAGGGUUGUAAACCCAUGCAAACUAAGCUUCAUUCUUGAAGAAAUUAGAAAGAUUGAAGAAGGUGAAGGGUUACCUCUUGAACCCUAGAUGAUACCAGAAUUUUUCACCACAAAACCUCCAAGAAAUUCCACAAGAUGAUGCCUUUCUCCAAGCUAGAACUAAUCUCCAAUUAGUAUGUGAUUUGGGUGAAGAUUUGUGAGGGAAAUGGAACAAGAUUUGGAGCAAGAUGAAGAAGCUUUCUUCCUUCCUUUUCCUUUGCUGUUUCGGGCGACCAAAGAGAGGAGAGAGAGAGUGGUUUGAGUUUUGUGAAUCUUGUCUUGGAAGCUUGAAGAAAUUGUGGCCAAAAGCUUUGCAAAAGUCAACUUUGAAUAGGGUUCAAAUAGUGUCCUGUACUACCACUUUUCUCUCUUGUUUGUUUCACUUGUGCACUAAUUCUCAAAUAUAAUUCCUUUAACACUGUAUUUACUCACUCUUAUGAGUCUAGUAUAACUUUCUCAAAUCUUCACUUAGUCGUUCCUACGCGCAAUACGCGAAUUUUCUACUCGCGUGCGAUAAGGCAGAAUUUACGAGCAAUUCAUGUAACGAUAAUAUAAUUAACUAAUACUAGAAUAAAUAAUCAUAAAAAUAAUUAUUUUAAGAAUAAAAACAUGAGUUCUCACAGGUCUUUUACUUGCUCUAUUAGUUAGACAAAUAUUAAUUAAAGCAAUAAAAAAAGUAAGUGAUUCAACUAAGUAUCAAAUAAACUAAGUAACUUGUAGAGAGACAAAAGAGAAAAAAUUAUUGAACUUUAAAACCCUAGGUAGUAGAGUCCCCUAAUGGCCUAAGAACUCAAGUGAAUGGAUCCAACUCUCUUGCUACUACUCUUGUUUAAUUUAGAAUUCAUUUCCAGUAUUAAUCAAAAUUCACUCUAGUGAUGAAUCGGCGAUUACUAGCAUUAGAUUUCCCUACUCUCGUGGUGAAUAUCUAGAGAAUGAGGUGGCUAACUUUUUUUUAUUUCUAUAAAAUGUUUAUUCUCUUGAUACUACUUGUAACGUAGAAAAUGGAAGGAGAUGGUGGGAAUGGGAGUUCCGAACGACCUUGUCGGGUGCUUAGCUAUCAAGAACGUCAAGGAGAGCCUGUAAUUUGGUGGGCUCCGGGGCGUAGGGUCAGACACUGUGAUUGUUGGCGGACCAACUCAUAUCCCGAUAGGGUGGUCCUCUCCAUAGCGGAUGAAAGGAGAAGCUUAGCUAAUGUCAAUUGUCGGGACCAGAUGGAGAUCGAGUGCCUGAGGGCAGUGCUAAAGAUGCAAGGGGAUAGAAUUUGAGAAGUUGAGACUUCUAUUAUUGAGGAAUGGGAGUGAACCAAUGCUUUUCGAGAGCGAGUAUAGGAGGUUAUUGAUCACGUCGUUCGGGUGGUAAGAGAAGUAAGAGACCGAAUAGAGAAUAUCUUAAUUGAGUGUGGGGUGCUUGUAGAGGAAGUGGUUCAAGUGAAUUUAGCAAAGAAAGGUAAAAGGAACGUGGCCCCUAAUGAACCUGACCUUGAACCUAAGGAAGGUGGAAUCAGCUAGGUCGAUGAUGAACUGAGUGAGAGAUCUAGGUUUGUGGGUGGUACAAGGUAGUUAAGAUGUGGUAUAGAGUAGUUAGGAUAACAUGUCACCUUUCUUGUUUUGCUUUUGAUACCAACGUGUUAAGACUAAUGUAUAUAGCGCUUAUUUUUGUUUUGUGUCCUUUGAUUUUGUUAUAUAUACUUAAUUUUAUUAGGUUGACAUGUACAAUAUUUUAUGACUUGGUAUUUGAGUUGUUAUAGUAUAUAUAUAAAUAGAGUGUAUUAUUUUAAGCGUAUUCCAUUAUUCUCACUUUAUAACUUGAAAUUGCUUUUAUUGAGCUCUAUAGCUACUUUAUUUUGCUUAUGCCUAUAUAGUUUAUUUUCAAAAAGAAGUAUGGAAGAUAGACGAAAUCAAGGACGUGGGGCUAAUCGAGGACGUGGGGCUAGCCGUGGACGUGGGGCUAGCCGUGGACGUGGGGUUGGACAAGUACAGGAAUCAAGAGAAAAAGUAGGCGUGACGGCGGCUGAACAACAACGUAAACCAAGAGCCGAAGUAAGAGAUUAGGUAGCAACGGUAAUCCAACAAAUAAUUGAUAUUUUAGCACGAUUGGUGGAGCAGUAGGGUCAAGCUCCUAUUAACCAGCUUAGGGACUUUGAAACAGGAGAAGAUAGAACCCUAGAGCGCUUUCAAAAGUUCUCUUCUCCCAAGUUUCUUAGAGGGUCAGAUCCAGAAAUAGCUGAGAGAUGGUUGGAGAUAAUGAUAAAUAUUUUUGCUAUCUUGAAUUACACAGAGGAAAGUCAGGCGAACUUUGCCGUAUUCUAAUUCGAAGGACUAGCCCGAAUUUGGAGGAAUGUGAUUAAGGCUAAGUGGGAGAGAGAGCGGACAGCGUGGAUUUAGUUGAACUUUAUACGAGAGUUUAAUGAAAAAUACCUUCCACCCAUAGUCUAGGAGAAAAGGGAUGAUGAUUUUAUCAGGUUACGUCAGGAAGCCUUACGUGUGUCUGAAUAUGAGAUUCAGUUCACCAAAUUAUCCAAAUUUGCUCCGAAAUUGGUAACUACGGAGCAAAGGAAAGUACGACAGUUUGUACAAGGGUUAAAUGUGAAAAUUCAAGAAGUCUUGCUGGCGGCACAAAUUAAUACAUUCAUGGAAGUUCUUGAGAAAGCCCAGAGGAUUGAAAUUGCGAGAGUAUAGGUGAAGGUUUUUCAUGUAAGAAAGAGAGGUGCGCCUAGUGGAGGUCAAGGGCAAGAAUCAGAUGAGCACAGCAUGCCACCCCAUAAAAUGGGACGAAAAGUUGGUGGUGUGAGAAUUGUGGGGAAGAGGAACCCCAGGUGGGAGAGGACGGCAAGUAAGUGUUUCAUAAGGAGGCCAAUCAUCGGCUUCACGUAUAACUUGUGGUUACUGUGGGAAGCCAAACCACUCUGAUACCAAGUGCUAGCAAAAGACACAGAAAUGUCUGCAUUGUGGGAGUACCGAUCAUCAAAUUAUUAACUGUUCACUCAUGGAUAGAGGCGAUGCUUCACGGUCGGACAGGUCGAACUUUACCCAGACAAAUAUAGGAGGGAAUAGGCCGAGAGUGCCAACCAGAGUGUAUGUCUUGGACCAACAGCAAAUGCCUAAUCCAUCUGAGGUGAUAGAAAGUACGAUUCCUAUCUUUCAUCGUCUGGCUAAAAUUUUGAUAGAUUCUAGUGCUACUCAUUCUUUUGUAAACCCUAAUUUUAUGUGUACCAUUGAUGUGAAAGUCGAGAUGCUAUCGUAUGAUUUAGAAGUGAGAACACCUUCAGGUGAUUAAUAUUUGCUUGCUAAUGAGGUGUAUAGAAAUUGUAAAAUUUGGGUUGAUGAGCGAAAAUUAGUAGUAGAUCUUAUAAGUUUGGUCAUUAAAGGGUAUGAAGUUAUUAUAAAAAUGGAUUGGUUAAUUCGUUAUCAUGCUCGACUGAAUUGCAGAACGAAAGUGGUUGACUUUUGCAUACCGGAUGAAGCAACCUUAAAAUUAGAUGUGAUGGAUACUUUAACCUUAUCUGCCCUUAUUUCGAAAAUUCGAGUUAGAAAAUUGUUGAGUAAGAGAGCACAGGGAUAUUUAGUCUUUCUAGUCAAUACCCCAAGAAAUAAAGUUAAAUUACAGGAUAUGUUGGUGAUAAAUGAAUAUCCAGAUUUUUUUUUUCCGAUGAAUUAGAGUCAUUGCCUCUCGAGCAAGAGAUAGAGUUUAAGAUUGAUCUGACACCUGAAACCACACUUAUCUCGAAAACCCCUUAUCGGAUGGUGCCUGCUGAGAUUAAAGAAUUAAAAUUGUAAUUACAGGAUUUGUUAGAACAGAGAUUUAUACACGAAAGUGAGUUACCUUGAGGCGUUCUAGUACUUUUUAUUAAGAAGAAGGACGAGAGUUUGCGUUUGUGUAUUGACUAUCGGGGAUUAAAUGCGGUGACAGUUAAGAACAAAUAUCCUUUGCUCCAUAUUAACGAGUUAUUUGACCAAUUACAAGGGAUUGUUGUUUCUCCAAGUUGGAUCUUAGACAAUGAUAUUAUUAAUUAAGAAUUAAAAAGAAGGAUGUGCCAAAAACUACUUUUAACAAUUGAUAUGGGCAUUAUGAGUUUGUGGUGAUAUCUUUUGGAUUAACUAAUGCUCUAGCAGCAUUCAUGAAUUUAAUGUAUCAGAUGGUUAAACCUUACUUGGACCAAUUCAUAGUGGUAUUUAUUGGUGAUAUUUUGGUGUAUUCAAAGACCAAGGAGGAGCAUGAGUAACAUUUGAGGAUGGUAUUGCAAACUUUAAGAGAACAUCAACUAUUCGCCAAAUUUAGUAAGUGCUAGUUCUGGUUGGAGAAAGUUUCAUUUUUAGGCCACAUAAUUUCAAAAGAUGGACUCACUAUGGAUCCGGUUAAAAUUGAAACUGUUGCCAAGUGAAAGCAAUCGCAGAAUCCUACUGAGAUUCGUAGUUUCUUGAGUCCAGUGGGGUAUUACCGUCGAUUUAUAAAAGACUUUUCCAGAAUUGCAGGGUCUCUAAUGAAUUUGACCAAGAAGCAGGGUAAAUUCAUUUGAGACACUAAGUGUAAAACUAAUUUUCAAGAGUUUAAGAAGCGGUCAACCAUGGCACUAGUGUUAACCCUACCAAAUGGGAAGGAUAGUUAUAUCGUAUAAACAGAUGUCUUGAUAGAAGGUUUAAGGUGUGUUUCAAUGCAAAGUAGGAACGUAAUUGCCUAUACUUCUAGGAAGUUAAAAGCUCAUGAACGAAAUUAUCCGACCCAUGAUUUAGAACUCGCAACUAUUGUAUUUGUUUUGAAGAAAUGGUGGCAUUAUUUAUAUGGGAUAACUUUUGAGGUGUAUACGGAUCAUAAAAGUCUAAAAUAUCUAUUCUCCCAAAAAGAAUUGAAUUUGAGGCAGCGACGAUGGAUGAAAUUUUUGAAAAAUUGUGACUAUACCAUUAAUUAUCAUUCAAGAAAAGUCAAUGUAGUGGUAGAAGGUUUAAGUUGAAAAACUCAACUAACAAGUUUAAUGAUAAGAGAAUGGAACUUGUUAGAGAAUGUUAGCGAAUGGAGUCCUCGCCUUGAGCCACAGAAAGUUAUUUUUGAGAAUAUUGUGGUGAAGUCAACAUUAUUGGAUCGAAUUAAAGAGGACCAAAAGAAAGAACCAACGAUGCAAAAGUGGUUAGAAAGAGUGCAAAAGGAAGAGUUACCUGACUUUAAUUUAGAUUCUGAUGGAAUUCUGAGAUUCCAAAAUUGUAUUGUUGUACCAAAAGACGAAAGGUUGAAAAGAGAUAUUUUAGAAGAAAUUCACCGUUCCAAGUAUAGUAUGCAUCUAGGUUGUGACAAGAUGUAUCAAAAUCUCAAAAGUCUAUACUGGUGGGAUAACAUGAAAUCAAAAAUUGUUCAAUUCGUCCAAAAAUGUCUUACUUGUCAACGAGUGAAGGUCGAGUAUAAAAAACCAUCGGGAUUGCUACAGCCUCUAGAAAUACCUGAAUGGAAGUGGGAGUACAUCACAAUGGAUUUUGUGCCAGGGUUGCCAUGAACUCAAAAAGGUCAUGAUGCGGUUUGGGUGAUAGUGGAUUGAUUGACUAAGUUAGCAGAUUUCUUACCGGUUAAUAUGAAGUAUUCUUUGAAAAAAAUUGCCAAACUUUAUAUAAAUUUCGAUAGAGAUCCUAGAUUUGUAUUCCGAUUUUAACAAAAGUUACAAGAGACUUUAGAAACUAAACUGAAUUAUAGCACAGCCUAUUAUGCUCAAACCAAUAGACAGUCGGAAAGAAUCAUUCAAACUCUUGAAAAUAUAUUAAAAUCAUGUAUUGUGAAUUUUAGAGGAAGUUGGGCCCAACAUAUGAUAUUAGUUGAGUUUGCUUAUAACAACAGUUAUCACACCUCUAUUUAAAUGGCACUAUAUGAAGCGCUUUAUAGAUGAAAAUGUCGAUCACCAAUUCACUAAAAUGAAGUAGGAGAGAGAAAAGUUAUGAACCCGACAACAAUAUCAUGGAUUGAGGAAAUGUACGAAAAGGCAAAAGUAAUUCGUCAGAGGUUUUAAACGGCCUAGAGUUGAUAAAAAAGUUAUGUUGACCAUCGGAGAAAGGAUUUGAAAUUUGAAACUGGAGACAAGAUAUUUCUCCGGUUUAAGACAGGAAAAGGAAAAAAGUUACAACCAUAAUACAUAGGUCCGUUCAGCAUACUCCAACGAGUAGAAAAGGUGGCAUAUCAAUUGGAGUUACUAGCAAGUUUAUCCCGAAUCUACGAUAUUUUUUAUUAAAAAUAUCAUCCAAGCCCGACCCAUAUACUGUUGCCAGAGGAUAUUGAGUUUGACGAGUCUCUAACCUAUGAGGAACGACCUAUUCAACUACUAGACCGAAAGGCGAAUGACUUGAGGAAUAAGCAAAUUUCACUAGUUAAGACUCUGUGAAAACAACAUGAGGUAAAAGAAGUAACCUGGGAGCUAGAGGCAGACAUGCAAGAGAAAUAUUUUGAACUAUUUACGAGUAAAUGUAUGAAUUUCGAGAUCCAAAUUCUUUUAAGAGGGAUAGAGUAUGAGGAAUUGAAAAUUUAUUUAUAUUUUCUUAUAAUUUCCUUUAUUUUUGAAUAAGUUAAUUUAUAGUUUUCUUAAUACUAAUUUACUUGCUUUAAUAUUUGUAACUAUUUUUUUUUAUGAUAGAGUCGAGAGUUUACUUUUACUUUUGUAGUUUCGUGCAUGCUAGGUUUUAUGGUGCAUUGGAGUAGUGUGCUCAAUUGGUGAGAUGUGUGUACUAAAUUUAGUGGAUAAGAGUGGGUAUUAAAUAAGAGGAAGUAUGUGACUGAAAGUGCUAAGAGUAAAUUAGUGAAUCAUAAGUUAAAAACACAACAGAAACAAAGAAAUGGCUUUGAACCAACUCGCGCCGCUUGAUACUAGUCAAAGACACCACUUGAACAAGACUUUUCUUUCCCUAAUCUUCUUAUUUUUCUUUAAUAUUUUCUUUCCUCUUUUCCUAAUGGUGUUGGCCGAAAUUUUGGAGAAAAAAAGUGUGAAAAAGAAGAAAAAAAAAAGAGAAAAUGGUUGGAUGCCUAGUGUUGGCAAUCAAGGUCACCUUUGACUAAGACCUUUCUUCCAUCUUUAUUUUUCAUUUCACCAAAAUUUCCUUCAUUUUCUUACCUUCUUGGCUGACCAAAAGAGAGAGAAAAAGAGAGGGAGAAACUUCAAUUUGCACCUAGCUUUUGCCUUGAUUUAGUGAGGAAUCAAUUCCACGAAAGUCAACCUACUCACUUAUGGUUCCAAUUGAUAUAAAAAUCCAUGGAUCUGUCCAAAUUGACAGAGUGCGUGUGAGUAUCUAGUAUAUCACUUUUCAUUCCCCCUCCCCCCCUAACCCCAACCCAAACAAUGACAAGAAAAUUCAAAAAUUAAAAUAGCUAUAACAAAAAUGAAAGUAUAAAAAGUUCGACCUAUAGAUAAAUGAUUUUUAAGUCUAUUAUGAGCAUGCCCUUUUAAUUUCAUUGCAAGUUUGAUGAAUAAUCAUGAUGAGAAAGAGAUUGGAUGAAGCACUUAUUCACUUGAUUCAAAUCAUAUGCAUUAACAAUUCCAAUUCUUUUCUAGCAUUACAUUUACUUGAACAUACUUAUCUAACUUUUACAUAAUUGGAAGUUUAUUAAUUUAGUUGUCAGCCUAUGUUGUACAAUUUUAUAACUUUUAAGGCAUAUUGGUUGGGAUGUUGGCAACCUGUGGAUCAUUUAAUCAGGGAUUAAGAAAAAAGGAUGGAGCUAUUACUAUGCAAGUAAUAGAAAAUAGGAAGGUGAUUGAGGAAAUAAUUCCAAUGUCAAAAUUCUCCAAAUUAGGUCAAGAAAAGCAAUUAAUAACUGUUCCCACCUUAUAAGACUUGACUUUGAUAUAUGUGUUUUAAUUACUUCAUCUAAUAUUAUUGUUUUAAAUCUAAAUUUCUACUUUUACUGAAGUUGGAUAUUGUCUCAGCUUCUCCUCCAAUAACUUUACUUAUUUUUACUAACACUGCCUUUUCUUUUGGACAAGAUUUCCCCCCAUACCAAUUUGCAUAACUUCUCUAAUGUGCUUGGAAGUUGAUUAUAUAAUUUUGUUAUUGUAAUUAUGUUACAUAUUCUAAAAAUCUUUCACCCUAACCUAAGAUCUAUCCUAAUGUGUGUGAAAGUUUGCAAUUUUUUCCUUUUUGUUUCUCUCAAAAACUUGUAGGAUGGUGGAAAACACAGGCAACCAUGUGAGUUGUACUCCCUUGUAUCAAAAGAUAAAUUUGUAGUGCUUAUGUCUCAUGCCCUAACCUUGACAAUAAUAAAGCAUCUCAUCUAAUGCUUUUGUUUUAUAUAACAUUGGUGCUCAUAAAUUAUUUCCAAAUAUGAGCAUUAGUUGUAGUUUUUGUCCCCUUUAGUUUUCCUACAUUUCGUGUUUCUCUCUCUUUCUCCUAAAUGCUUGUAGACUUAUUUGAUUUUUGAGAUGUGUACUAUAUUGCACUAUGUCAAUGAUAUAUCAAGUAUAUAACACUCCAAAAGAAUCCACUCAUGAGUAUUUUUUCACACAAAAAAAAACUUAAUACUUGAAUCCAUUUUUCUUUUUUAAUACAAUAUGAUCAUAUCAUGAUUAAAAUUACAUAAAUUUGAUAAGUCUAACUCUAUUCACAUGUUCAAGAUAUUUGGACUAUACGAGAAAAUGGUCAUGAUUGUGUUUUAAUAGAUAUUUGGACUAUAUAAGAUACUAUAUUUCACUAGGUCAAUAAUGCAUUAAAUAUAUAAUUCUCCAAAAGAAUCAAUUCACGAGCAUAUAAGAAAAACAAUUUUUUUACUUAAAGUCUUAGUUUUCUCUUUGCAACUGUAUGAUAUGUACCAUGAUUAAGUGCUUUUAACUUUUAAGAUUCAAAUCUAUCCAUAGGUUUUUAAGGUGUAGCGUGCGUCUCGUGCUCAUGAUCUAACUAUGGAUAUGAAUGAGAAAAUUCUGGAGAUUUUAGUAUUUCUUGAACUAGUACUUUACAUAGCAAAGAAGAAGGUAAAAUGGAUAGGAUGAGCAAUAUAACCCAAAAAGAGAAACAAAAAAAAAGGGAAGCAGCACAAAUAGUCUCUUGCAAAUUGUAUUUAUAUUUUUUCACUAUUUGCUUUCAAUAUGCUGCAAAAAUAUAUGACGAACACAAUCUCAUGGAUAUAUACAACUCUUAAAUCCUAAUAUCCAUAUUUCUACAGUCAUAUGAUCAUAUCAUGAUUAAAAUUACCUAAUUUUGAUAAGUCUAACUCUAUUCACAUGUUUAAGGUACAUUGUGCAGUGUUCGUGCUUAUAACCAAAUUGUAAUUAUAAAUGAGAAAAUCUUAUAGAUUUUUUAUUCUUUGAACCUAGCGAUUUAGAUGGCAAAAGAGAAGGUAAAAUGGGUAGAUUGAGCAACAUAAUCACAAAAUAAAACCAAAAGAAGGGAAAACCAAACAAAAACCAAUUCUUGAUUUUUGUUUUCCUCUAGGGCCCAAAUAACCCAAUUUUCUCUCAUGAACUAUUUGUGUCAACGGAUCCGUUCCAUCUAAAACUUGAGAUAAUGGGUGUAAACUAAAAAAGAUAACCCAUGGUUUUAUUUUAUAUAGAUUAUAAAGGAGUGCUAAUUCUAGAAAGAACCAAAAUUCCAGACUCUGUAUUUCAUUAAUAUGAAUUUACUAACGAUAAAAAAAGAGUUACAUAAUAAUACUUCCAAAGGUUGAAAUUUGAAGAUGAUUAUAUAUUUUAGUGCUUUAAAAAGUAAUGAUUAAUCGGACACUGAAUACUUGUCAGCGUAAUACCAAAUUAUAUUGCUUCUUAUGAACAUUAUAGCGAACCCAAGUUACUUACCAAAUUCACGUUUUAUGUACAUAUGUGUGUAUACAAAUGAUCCAAAUCAGUCAUGCCAAAAAAAGGAGCCAUAAAUGAAAAACCAAAAACAAAAAAAAAAAUAAAAAGGUGAUCCAGUUCAAUAUACAUGUCCGUAGACCUCAUACCAAUUGCUUUAUAUAUCAAUUCAUCCAAUUUAUAAUUGUAGCAUUCAACUACUGAGCAAAGAAAUGGAGGUGGGAUGGUGAGCAACGAGGACAUAAGAAGGCCCUCCAAGACUGUUUUUCUGGCUGCUGCUCUUUGGCUUUAGAAGAACAAGCACUUUCGGUCUCUUCCAUAUCUUCUCUCACUUCCACCUUCCCCUGCUUUAAAUAGCACUAUAUUCCACAAAACUUGAACACCUUGAUAUUCACAAGUUGCUACAUUUUGAUUCCAAAGAGAAGGAAAAGUCAAAGUCAAACAAAAAGUUAUCCCUUACGUGUACAACUGUACCAUUUUGAUUCCAAAAGUCAUGUGACCACCAUGUGAUAAUAGUUUCAAGGCCAAAAAAAUUACCUCGUACACAAUCUGACAAAAUUACACCAUACUUAAAACCUAAGACCCAAAAUUCGACAACCAAAGCUAGAUCAAUUGUUUCUUUUAGGAAAAAAUCCAUUUUUCGUCCCUCAAUUUUAUGUUUGGGACACAUUUCGUUCUUAAACUUUUAGGUGCAACAUAUUUAGUACAUAAAUUAAUAAUUUUUUGCCAUAUUUAGUCCAAAAACGAUAAGUUGUUCAAUUUGGAUGGAGAAAACGCAUGUGUCUAGCACGUGACAGUUAAGUAAAAAUAAUUUCUUAACCAAAAUCAAUGGCCAUGUGCGAGACACGUGAACCUUCUCCUUCGAAAUUGAACAAUUUAUCAUUUUUGGACUAAAUGUGGUUUGAAAUUAUUGAUUCAUGUACUAAAUAUGUUGCGUCUAAAAGUUUAAAGACAAAAUUUAUCCCUAACUCAAAGUUUAGGGACGAAAAGUGGAUUUUUUCAUUUCUUUUAUUAAAAAGGACAAACAAAAAUAAAAGAACUAAAAUCCUAAAGUAUAAAAAAUGUGGAAUAAUAAAGAACCAAUGAUCUACUACUCGAAUUCGGAGUUGCUUUUUACACAAAUUCUUGGUAAAUCUUUGUUUAUUCCAACCUUUUGUUAGCUAUAACUUUCUUUAAAAAUAAAUUUGUUCCUCGAUCCUUUUUGUCACUUUUGAUAGUAAUUUUUGUUUAUUUGGGUAAUUUGUGUGUUUAGUUAACAGUUUUUAUUUGUAGUUAAUAAAUGUUCUUUUAAUUACAUCAAAUAUUAAUUUUUAAAACAUAAUAGUAUGCUGUAAACGUUUACUAAACAAUUGACAUAAUUAACAUUAUCAUAGUUCUUUAUGAUUAAAAUAAUCACUAAUCAAUUUAAAUAAGUUAACUACGAAUAAUAGCAAAAUUGUUAACUAAAUACACAAAUUAACCAAAGAUACUCGCCGGACAGAUAAAGAGCAAUCGGUCCCACUCAAUUCAAAGAGCGGCUUCUGAUAGAAUCCACAAAUGCCACCACCACCGAUAGAUAGUAAUGAUGAAGGAUAGAAUCCUCAAAUUCCUCGAGAAGCUACCAUUGAUGAUUUCUACCCAAUCCACAAAUGUCUCAACUUAGAAAUAGAAAUGGGGAUGAGGAUAGAGUGAGAGAGAUAUGGGUUUAUGGGGAUGAGGAGAGAGAGGAAGGAGAGAAAUGGGCUAUUGCAGAGUGACUAGAACAAUUUGGGUGGGUAUAUAUAAAGAAUUUCUAUGUCGAUCCAACUGCUAUUAUUUCCGUCGAUCAACCAUCACUUUUACUUUUAAUGCACCAUUACGUAUCGAUGCAUUUUAGCCGUUGAUUAAUGUUGAUCAACAGCUAAAAUGUAUCACAUGUUAAAAAAAAUCAUAAUAAAUAACAAUUCAUCCUCGUGCACAUCGAACAUUUUCUAGCCGUUGACCCAAUUCCAAUCAACAGUUAGGAAACAAUACAUUUUGGACACCUGGCAGUUGCUGUAUCUGGUUUGGAUGUGGUGACAGCAAUACUUCGAAAUGUUUUUUUUCUUUGCCACAUUCAAACUAGAUGCGGCGAUUGUAUAAAUUUUAAAAAAUAUGGGGCUUAAAUAAAAAAAUUUUCCACAAAGUUAUGACACAUAACAAAAAAAAAAAAAUUCAUGGUCGUCACAUUUUAGAUAUGUGAUGACCUUAAGAAGUGAAGAGAUUCCCACAAAACACGAAAAAAAUAUAUAUAUAUUUUAUAAUUCAGCAUUAUUGGUAGAAAUUUGUCUUUCUUCUACCACUGUUAUUACUGUUGCUAUAACCUCUCAACCACUACUAUCGCUGAUGAUUUCUAGGCUGAGUUCAUUACAAUUGAGCUUCCAACCAACAAUCCCUUAUUUUUAAUCCCUAUUACUUCUCCAAAACUAUUUCUCUACUUUCGGGGAAAAAAAAUCAAGUUUGAUUGCUUCUUCCCACUGCUUCUAUACUUUCAAGGGAAAAAAAAACCAAUUAAUGGGCAUUCAAAACAAGGUAUCUUAAUACUUGACUCCAUGCUUCUUCUAUUAUAGGACUACAUAUAUUGUGAUUAGAAUAGUUUUUUAUCCAUGCAAAGAUAGAAAUAACGAAUUGCUUUGCCUGUACUUUCUGAGAUUAGUCAUCUGUAUUUCCCAACAUUCGUUCUCAUACCAAUAUCUCGAUUGACAUACUCUAACCAAGAGAUAUUUGGACUAUAUGAGAAAAUGGUCGUGAUUGUGUUUCAAUAGAUAUUUGGACUAUACGUAUACUAUAUUUCACUAGGUCAAUAAUGCGUCAAAUAUAUAAUUCUCCAAAAGAAUCAAUUCAUGAGUAUAUAAGAAAAAAAAAUUUUUACUUAAAAUUCAAAUUUCUCCUUACAACUAUAUGAUAUGAACCAUGAUUAAGUUGUUUAAAGUUUUAAGAUCCAAAUCUAUCCAUAGGUUUUUAAGGUGUAGCAUGCACCAUUCAUGCUCAUGAUCUAACUAUCAAUGUGAAUGAGAAAAUUCUACAGAUUUUAUUAUUUCUUGAACUAAUACUUUAGAUGGCAAAGAAGAAGGUUAAAUGGAUAGGUUAAGCAAUACAACCCAAAAGAGAAACAAAAAAAAGGGAAGCAGCACAAAUAGUCUCUUGCAUAUUGUAUUUAUAUUUUUUUCACUAUUUACUUUCAAAAUGAUGCAAAAAUAUAUGACAUACACAAUCUCAUAGUAAUAUACAACCCUUAAAUCCUAAUAUCUAUAUUUCUACAGUCAUAUGAUCAUACCAUGAUUAAAAUUACCUAAUUUUGAUAAGUCUAACUCUAUUCGCAUGUUUAAGGUACAUUUUGCAGUGUUCGUGCUUAUAACCAAAUUGUAAUUGUAAAUGAGAAAAUCUUAUGGAUUUUUUUUAUUCCUUGAACCUAGCAAUUUAGAUGGCAAAAUAGAAGGUAAAAUGGGUAGAUUGAGCAACAUAAUCACAAAAUAAAACAAAAGGAAGGGAAAACCAAACAAAUACCAAUUCUUCAUUUUUUUUCCUCUAGGUCCCAAAUGAUUCAAUUUUCUCCCAUGAACUAUUUGUGUCAACGGAUUGGUUCUAUCUAAAACUUGAGAUAAUAGGUGUAAACUACAAAAAGAUAACCCAUGGUUUCAUUUUCUAUAGAUUAUAAAGGAGUACAAAUUCUAGAAAAAAUCAAAAUUCCAGACUCGCAUUUCAUUUAUAUGAACUUACUACAGAUAAGAAAAGGGUUACAUAAUAAUACUUCCGAAGUUUGAAAUUUGUAGAUGAUUACAUAUUUUCAUACUUUAAAAAGUGAUGAUUUAAUCGGACAUUGAAGAUUUGGCGUAAUACCAAAUUAUAUAUAUUGCUUUUUAUGAACAAUAUAAUGUAACCAAAAUUACGUAUCAAAUUCAUGUUUUAUAUACAUAUAUGUGUGUGUACAAGCACACACAGAAUCCCUCAUAUUUGAUCCAAAUUAGUAAUGCCAAAAAGAGGAGCCAUAAAUGAAAAACCAAAAAAAAUAGUGGUGUAGUUCGAUAUACAUGUCCAUAGACCUCAUACCGAUUGCUUUAUAUGACAAUUCAUCCAAUUAAUACUUGUUGCAUUAAACUACUGAGCAAAGAAAUGGAGUUGGGAUGAUGAGCAGCGAGGACACAAUUAUAGUUCUACUUGAGUGGACAUGUGCAAUAUUUGUGCUUUUCACCUAAGUAUGGUUAUACAUGAGUAAAAUUGUGUAAAUUACUUUAUUUCUUGAAAAUAGCGAUAUGAUUCGUAUUACUAUUAUGUAUACUUAUUAUAAUACUGUAAUUAUCUUUUACUAUACUUUCAUUCUUGUUUUAGUUAUUUAUAGUAUUAGAAAAUUCAAUGCAAGCUGUAUAGUUUAAAAAUUGAUAUAUGCUUGUCUUAAUAAAAAAUUGUAUAUUACUCGUAAUUUAACUAUUUAGGAUAUUAGCAAACAAGAACUUUAAAUUACUUAAUAUUUAAAAGUAUAUCACAAAAGAUAAAGUAAUCUAUAUUUUUAUUUUCUUUUGUUUAUGUAUAGUUGAUUAACUAUUUUGUUACAUCUAAAGGCAAAUUUCUAUAAAUAAUGCUGAAAUAAGAAAUCAUGACCAAUUUGGUGUUUUGGACAAAUUGAAUUUAUUUUAGUUUUUUAAGUUGCACAGUAAUUUAAAUGAAUAAUAAUUUUUUUAAAAAAAUUUACUAAUCGUCCCACUUAGUCGUAUCUAGUUUUGGAUGCAGCUAAAUUUUUGCAAUAUUGAUUAAAAGUUGAUCAACAGUGCAAAAUUUUUUUUAAAAAAAUUGAAUGCGACGACUUGGAUGCGGCUUAAUUUCUGCAUGUGGAAUCCCUGCCCAUAUUCAGCUAAAGAUUAAAAAAAAAAAAAUCUAGAUGCUGCCGAUAGAGCCGUAUCCAUUAACAAAUGUGGUGAAGCUCUAUGGGCCAUUGAUCAAUUAUGAUCAAUGGUACAUACACUUUCAUUUUUUUAACUAUUCAUUAAUUCCAAAUGAACGGUUGGAUUGUGUUGAUACAAUCAAUGCUCAAUGUGUUUGGCUAUAAAUAUACCACCGAAUUUGUCAAUUUGACUCGCACAAUCCCAUUUGCACCCUUCCACUCAUUGUCUCCCUAAUUUCUUCCUUCCAUUGCAAAGAAAAUCUUGAGGAACCCAUAUACAGAUUGUGUUUCCACUAAUGUUUAGCGUGUUAGUUCGUGUACAUUUUCGCUCAAUGGUGUGCGUCAGUUUCUUUUGUCGAUCAUGAAAAGCAGCGGACUUCUGAGAUCUGAAGUUAGUGGUGCUCGGCCAGAAUCUUUGACAAUAUUUGGUUUAAUAGGUACUGCCGACAAAUCUCAUGUGUCAUUUGAAAUAGUUAUAGUUUAUUAUAUUUAAUUAGUAUUAGUUUAUUAGUUGAUUAUAUUUUAUUUAAAUGAUAACUAUUACAUCAGUAGUUUAUUACAUUUAAUUAGUAUUUAAAUUAGUUUAAUUAGUAAUAGUUUAUUAAUUAUAUUACAUCUUCCUAUUAGUGGAUAAUGUCAGACCAGAAAUAAUAAUAGAAAGUGAUAGUAAAAGCACUAUUUAGUAAAUAGUAUUAAAAAUAAAAAAUAAUAAAGGUAAAUAGUUUAUUAGGUUAUGUGGAUGCUCUUCCAUCUUGUUCAUUAGGUUAUGUGUUUCAUUUUCUUUUUUAGUUGGUUCUGUAAAGCAUUUCCAUAUACAAGCAUUACUUGUAAGUGCUUUUUCUUUAUUUUUACCCAUAUAUUGUGCUUCCUUUAUUGUUCCACUAAAUACAUCAAUAACUUGAGUUGAUGCAUGCAGUGUUCGUGCUUGUAACCUAAUUAUGGUUAUAAAUGAGCCAUUGUAUAAAUUACAUUAUUUCUUGAAAUAGUGAUAUGAUUUGUAUUACUAAUUUGUAUGCUUAUCAUAAUAUUGUACUUCUUUUACUUAUAAUUUCAUUCUUAUUUUAUUUAUUUACAACAUUAGAAAAUUCAAGACAAGCUGUAUAACUUAAAAAAUUGAUACAUGCCUAUCAUAAUUAAAAAGUAUAUUUAUAGCAAUUUGACUAUUUAGGAUAUUAACAAACUAGAAAUUUAAAUUACUUAAUAUUUUAAAGUAUAUCCCAAAACAUAAAGUAAUUAACAUCCUUUAUUUAGUUGUUUAUGUAUUGUUGAUUAACUGCUAUGUUAUUACAAUCUAAAUUUGUUACUAUCGCUAUUAAAAAUUGUUUUAUUCUAAGCUCUAAACAUAUUGAUUUAAUUAAAACAAAAAAUAAUCUAUGCGCAUAGAUAACACAUAUUUUGUUAUAUAAUAGAUUUUAUGAUUGUUAUUACUUCCAAUAACAAAAAGUAAAAAAAAGCUAGAAAUAAAUAAGGAAUAAGUUUAAGAAAAUUAAAAUUAAUGUAUAGAUAAUAAUAGUAGAAAGAAGAAAGUAGUUGAUCUUAUGAGCGAAGUGAUAAGAGAGAAAAAUAAAAAAUAUAGACAAAAGGGGCAAGUAAAAAAAGGACAAAAAAGGAGAAAAAAUAAAACAAUAAUUAAUAUAGAUAGGAUACUAUUAUGCUACAGUCACUGAACACCAUGUCUGCUUGAGACUCCUGCCGACCUUCGACUGCCAAUCAGACUCCUUCUGCCACUACACUCUCAUUACUAACAUUUUCAAGAUGUCAUUCGGAGCUAGUCAACCAAAUAAUAUUGCCAAGGCCUAUCUAUAGCCAGACGCACUUCUUAAUGAACUUACUAACAUGUUUGAAUGAAGCACAGAAAAGGGUUCUGUCUGGAUGAUGAUGCUUAAAUACUCCUAUGACAAGUCUAAGCUCCAAAGGAAUAAGAUGAAGACAGUUGGCUAGAAAAUUGAGUACAAGUGUCUUGUAUGAGCUGCAGAUGGCAAAAAAUCACCAAUGAUUCAAACUUCGUAUGCAACCAUUCUAAAAGCCCGCAUGACUGCAUUGAAGAAGAGGGAAAGAAAGGCCGGGAAAGGCAGUAGAUUCAGAUAAGAAGCACCGGGUUUUGAAGAAGUGAUCAGCUGCUACUUUGUCACUUUUCCGUUUUUGGUUGAAGGUUCUACACUAUUUUUAUUUCCAUUUACCGGGUUUAGAGGUUAUUUUUUUCUGGCUAAUUGGGUUGCUAAGUAUGUUUAUACAGCCUGACAGUUAUAAAUUAAUCACGACUCUUUUGUGGCAUGGGAUUGAGGAAAGAGUUUUGCUUUAAAAAAAAAAGAUACUAUUACACCAAAACAUAAAGAGGGGGCAAAAUGUCUAUUUAUUGAGUUGACAGAGAUAAAGGGUAACUGAGGUACUAUCCUAGAAGUACAAGAACUGAAGUGGUACGUGCAUUGUACUUGUUUAGAAAUAUAUGUGCAUUAUAGGUGUUGACCUUUUCUCAUCGAACCAACUCUAAAAUUAUUUUCCAUCCUUCGAAACAAAAGCAUAAAAAUAACAUGAAUAAAUAGAAGGACUGAAAGUAAGAUAAUGUGUCCUUAUCCUAUACCAGUCAUUACUUAUUUCUUAUUUCAGUAUCACCAAGCUGCAUUGCAAAUAGAUACUCAAUCUAGAUUUCCAUAGUAAUACUAGGGGAGGAGUGUCCACGCAUUGCACGAGUGUUUGGUAUGGUUGAAUAAGAUUUUUUGUUGGACAAAUAAUAAUACAUUAUAAGAAUAGUAUGUUGCAAUAAAUAAUUAGAAGCAGGUGUGAUAACAAGAAAAACAACAUAAGAGUCACCUAAUAUUAGAAUCAGGAAGUUCCCAAAGACAAAUAAUUAGAUGCAGUAAGUUCUCAAAGGUGUACGGACAAAUAUUUAUAAAAUUGUUUCAGGUAAAAACUAUGAGUCAUUCAAUAGGACAUCAUGUAUGUCUACUUAUUUAGUGAUAGUAAUAGUAGUAAAAUCAUGUAGAUACUGCAAUAGACAACAGUCAGAUGCAUUGCUUCUUGUGGUUUCUUCAUUUUGUUUUGCAGGCGUUGUACCACUGGUUCCUUCACUGGACUUUGUAGAUGAUAAGGUUUCUAGAUUGGUUGAGCUAUCUCUUUUCUUUGUUUCCACUGCUUGUAUUGCAACAUCCAUUGGUGUUCCUUAAGAGUUGAGGUCUGGUUUUUCCACUACUUCAGCUGUGCUUAUUGCACUUCCGGUAUUCCAUGAUGCUGAUGCUGUUCCGUAGUUGGUAGUGCACUUUGUCAUGAUUGCAAGCUCUUCUAGGAUUGAGUUCUUGACAUGAGCAAUGAUAGCUAUGUAUUUGGCUGCAGCUGUUGAAUUGUAUGUAUUUUGGGUCUUCUUCACCAAACAAACUAAGCUGUUUUGUUUGAUAAAAUCUUCAAUGGUGUUGUAGUCCAGAUUGUUCUGUAAUGGAUUAUUACAAUGUAAAGAUCAGUUGCAUGAGACAAGAUAAGUGUGAAUAAAAGUGGUUUUAAUUAUAUGUGGUUGAAACAUGUUUAAGGUUAAAUUUGUUUGUUUACCUCUCUUUCUUGCUUCUUGAUUUCAUUAAUAGUGAAAGGGAGCAGUUGCUCAACAUCAUUGCCGUUGAGAUCAAGUGUGAUUGAACAGUGUGAUCUGUAAGCUGGACUAUCAAUCUACAUUUGUUAUGAUGAGAUGGUUAUCAAUGUCAAAAGUUGCACUUAUGCUGUCUAAAGGCCAUUUCAGUAAUUACACAAACCUACAGGCUUAUAUGAGUUGUACCAAAAGCAACAAACAGUUGCAGAAUGAUUGCGCAUACCAUAAAUACCCAGAUGUUUCAAAUAAGCCUGAAUAACCCACAAUAUCCCCUCCUUCUAUUAAGUUAAAUACUCACACUAGAAAUAAUAACAGAAUACCAGGGAUAAGCUACUAUUCUUUCCUGGUGGUACCAAACCCAAUAAAAUCUGUGCAAUGGCCCUCUUCUAUAAAUGUUAAUUUGGUUUCCAUUCUUGUCUAUAUAGACCAACAAGGGAAUACGUUGCAUAUUAAUAGACCAACAAAAUGAAAAGAUUGUUCAUUUCAGUUAUCUCUCACAAUAUUCAGAUUGUUAUGAAUAUCUUGUCUAUAAACGAGGCCAUUGUUAUGUCGGAUCAUAUUAAUUAAACUAAAAGUCAAGUAAGGAGGUAUGAGGGAUUUUAAAUGGGAAAGUUUGAACAAUGUAAUUCUGCAGCAGAGGACAUAUACCUUGGGCUUCCAUGAAUGCAUCUGUGGCAUGAGGUGCAGUCAAAUUCCAAAUUUCAUCUUGCUCUAAGAUAGAGAGGGCAUGAAUUGUACCACAUUUUUUGGCUUCAGUCAAGUAGGUUCAGUAUUCCUCUUAUCCAGUAUGGUCAUUUCUGUUGGUGUGUUGUAAAGCUGUUUAGAUGGAAUUUAAAUAUAAUGUGGGUAAUAGAGAUUACGUGAUUACCAUGUUUGUAGUUGUCAAGCUUUUGAUAAUGAGAACUCUGUCAUCAACUGGAGCUAGGAGGAGAUUUAAGCGAUCUGCAUAUGUUCUUUAUGCAAUGAAUUUCAGGAAUGCUUCUUGAUUUUUGCUUGACCUGCAUGUAUGAAAAUGUAUAAGGUAAUGGAGGUAUGAUGUAAAGAUUGAUCUUUAAGAAUAGGGUGUUUAUUAGUUUAUGUUAAGUGUCAAAGGUUAACAGUACCAAGUACGAAGUGCGUUUGCUUGGGCAGUUGGAGGAUUAAUCAAGAUAGAACUUGCAAAUUUUGUUGACAGGUUCAAAGUUGCGUGUCACAGAGAAUAGUUUAAUUUCAUCAAUAUUUGAAAGUGAAUAUGGGUUUAAUAUAUUCAAAAAUAGACAAUAGAGAUAAUUUGAAGCAUAAUGUGUUCAAAUACGUAUACUUACUAUGAUAGGACGUUGCUUUGAUUCUUAAAGUAGCAAUGACUGGUUGUGUAUGGAUCAUGUCAGAUAUUUGCUGGCCUUCAUCAAAUUCAUGCUCACCCCAAAGUGUCAAGACAAUAGGUUGGGAGCUACAAGUACAAGCUAGUAGGUGUUAUAUGAAUGUGUGUUAUUAUGCUUAAUUGAUUGGAUAGAAUGUGUACUUUUCGUUGACUAUGAUUAUUUCUCUGGUAGGUGUUGGUCCUCUCAUGUUUCUUGGGUUAACAUGAAUAGCAACUCCAAGCGGAUCUGAGAAGUAUAAAUAUGCGGGCAAUUCAGAUGAUCAUAUAGAGGAUAUUAUGAGAAGAUUCAAAUAUUACCUAUUUCUUCAUUUGUGUCAAUGUGCUCAUAGAUUUUGUCAUAAGGUUUGAAGUGGAAGACAUCUGGUAGCAUUGGAGGCUCUGAUUCAUGAACUUGCUGCACAAUUGAAUUGUCAAUAACCCAACAAUAUUCAUUAGUAUAAGUACUGUAUCGGGGCUGGACUGUCUCCGGUUUGGCAUUAGAGAUAUAGUAUCUGCGAAAUGGCUGGAAAUAUCUCUUGAAAAAUUGUAUGUCACCACCAUAUAUCAUUGCUUGUGCUUUUCUCCCCUGGAAUAGAAGAGAUGCCCUCUAUGAAUGGGUAUGUUGUAGGAUAACAUGUGAGUUCAAAGUCUCUGCACAAGCAGAACUAUCUAGCUGGCUAUUUGCAGCAAUUACAAAUUCAUGGAAAGACCUUUGUGUGUUUAACUACAUUAGUACUAAUCUAGAUGAAGAUGUUAUAAGGCUGCUAAACAUUGAAAAUGUGACAUAGAAAAUAACAGUACUUUAAUAUCAAUUUGGUAAAAAGUAAAAUGGGAUGUUAAACGUGUCAAGCGCACAACAUCUAGAUAUCAAAUUCUGAGCAGGGAAAAAUAUCAUAAAGGCAAAUGAUUGAAGACAAUUAAAUAUUACCUCAGUAUCAACAAAGAUCAGUUUCUGAUAUGGGGUUCCUUUCUUUGAAACUUGAGGUUUUUGUUUCUCCAGGACCUGGCCAAUUGUGGUCAAAUCACUUAAUUUUGGCCUGAUUUCAUAGAACCGAACCAAGUUAUUAUCCAUUUUUCUUUGGAGUAUUGCUGCAAAUAGCUGAGAAAAUAACAAUGUUAAUAAAAUAUUUAUAGAUAAAAUACAUACAGUAGAUGUAUUUAAACACGUAUAAUAAGACUAUGCAUUAGCUAAGUGCAAAACUUCUUGAUAGACUAUAUUUGGAGUCAAAUUGUCCAAUGUAAUAUUAUGUAUAGGAGGUCUUAUAAGGACCUUUACAGAAUUGCUACUUUUAGCUCUUGAAAUGGCAACAUAAAGUUGGCCAUGUGAAAAUACAAGCUCAUGAAGAUAUAUGCCAACAAAGUCUAAAGUUUGACCCUGAGCUUUAUUGAUAGUCAUUGCAAAACACAGUUGUACAAGAAAUUGUAUCCUUUCAAAGGAGAUUGGACAAUUUGGAUCAUCUUCAACUUUAAAGCAAAUCCUGUGCAGAAAUACUUGCUUUCCACUGAAUUCACCUAAAUUUAUAACAGCAUCUAUUACAUUAGAUUUCAAUGAUCUACACUCAAGUCUAGUGCCAUUACAUAGCCCCUCAGGUGGAUCAAUGUUCUGAAGCAACAUAAUUGGUGUAUUUUGCUUUAGAGUUAAGUGGGUGGAGGUAACCCAUUAGUCGUGAGGCUAUUUAUGAAAUAUUCUAGAAUUGCUUGUUGAGAAGGAUCUAGGCAUGUGUCAUGACUUAUAUAGUCAAAAGAAUCUCUUGGAAAUUUCUGAAUUAAGGAAUCAUUGAUCUCAUCUACGAAAUCAUUCUCUGUAGUCAGGAUAGAUCUAUUGAUUCUAGAAUAGUUGCUGCUAGCAAAUAUUGAACAAUCUGGAUACACUAUAUUGAUUAGAGCAGCUAAUGAUUCUUCUUCAGUGGAAUAUCUAAUGAGCAUUUUUUAAGGUAUCUCAACAUUUUCAUCUUUUAUUACUGGCUCUGUUCCAUUGCUGAUCCGCAGUAGAUAUUCUGUGAAAUUGGGGUCUAAUUUUGCUCUCUUGUAUCUUUUGCAACUGUGGCCAGAUGUAAAACUUUAUUAAACUGGACUCAACAAAAUCAGAUGCUGAACCUCUAACAACAACUGGUAAUACUUGUUUGAAAUCUCCUCCAAAAACAAUCACCUUUGAUCCAAAUAGAUCAGAACUAUCCAUAAGAUCCCUGAAUAAUUUGUCAACUCCCUCAAUCCCUGCUUUAUGUGUCAUUGGUGCUUCAUCCCAAAUAAUUAACUUGGCCUAUUGUAGUAGCUUUGCUAAGGAACUUUGUUUACUCACUUUGCACAUUUUAUUUGGGUUCAUGUCUAGUGGAAUUUUGAAAUGGGAGUGUGCGGUUCGACCUCCUGGAAGUAUAGCUGCUGCAACUCCACAUGAAGCAGUUGCUAAUGCUAUGUAUUCUUUUGACCUCACUUGUGUUAAUAGUGCUCUAUAUAAAAAUGUUUUGCCUGUUCCUCCAGGACCACCAACAAAAAAAAAAAACCCUUACCUUUGACAAAGACAACUUCAAUGAUCAAAUCAAAUGCUGCUUUUGGCUCAUCAUUUAACAUAGACAUUGCAGAUAAAUCGCUAUCUAAAACUUUUAUGCUGAUCUCGCUCAAUGUAUCUCUUUUUUUUCAGCUUGAUCAAACUUCAAUAUUCUGGGAAUUAAAGAAUAUGUAUUGAUGUUCUUUCCCAUGGACUCUAAAAAUCUACUGAUUUCAUUUAAUACCUCAUAUUCUAUUUGAUCAGCAGAUAGAUGGGGCAUUUUGGUAAAAUCCUCUGACAUGGAAUCUUUAAACUUUAACCAUAAUGAUCUAGCAUCAGCAGGAGGAAAAUAAACUAAAAAUGUAGCAAACAACCUUCUAAAAUUAUAAGGUAUAUGGAAUAGUGUUGCCUCUUCUAGACAUUACUCUUGUGGAUUGUUUGAUUCAAAUAACCUCUCAUGAUUGUAGCUUCUCUAAAUGUGUCAACAAUAACACCAGUGAAUGAUUUUAGACUAGCAAAUGACUUAGGACCCUUCACAUUCAGCAAUAAUAGUCUUAAGAAAAAUCGCUCUCCCUCCAUUGGAUUUGCAGUUACAAUUCUCCCUAUGCAGUUUCUUUGUUUCUAAACAUUUUUCUUUAAGGGUACCAUACAAAAUAUUCAGGAAAUUCUUUGUAGGUACAUUUUAAUUUCUUUGCUGUUGGAUCUGUAGCAUUCAUUCUAAAGAAUUCAGUCAGCAUACUUUUUUGGCAUGUUUGUUUUUCAUCAGAUCUUGCAGGUCAUCAUCAUCCUUAAAAGUCAUUGAUUGAUAAUUUUCUAAGUGAAUUUGAAGACGUAUCACUGCUGGGUAUAUAUCAAAUAGGGAAAACUUGUAUAUUCGCCAAAUAGCCUCUAGCGGAGAUACCCACUGUGAUAGCCCCACCUCCCCCUAAGAUGAACCAAAGGGUUCGGCGAACUGCCUACCUAGCUCUCGCGCGGGACUCACUGCAGUUCUCAAAUAAAUGACACCACUCGCAUCCAAUAACAUAGGGUACAACCUCAAUAAUAAAUGAAAUAACAUUUUCUAAACGUAGAACGUAUACUUACCUACAUUACAAAUCUCAAGUAGUGAUACAAUUCCCCGAAUAAGACAAAAGUCCUCAGUUCUCAAAUAAUUACAAUUACAAUAUCAGUCUCAAAUAUUAUAUCUUCCAAAGUUCUCUGAAUUCACAUACCACAAGUGGAUCGAGUUCGAAUUCAAAUUAUACAAGAGAUAUUUCACCCAAUCAUACUGAUAAAUCAUUACACGCUCUUCCUUUGCCUCGAACCUUGUGGAGGGGGAAAAAUAUUUUUGGGGUGAGGUAGAAACUCAGCGAAUGUCCAGUAAAAAUCAGAAAUCAAAUAAGCUUCACAAUAAUGUAUUUAGAUGAUGUCAUGAAUCAGUGAUCAAAUAUACGUUUAUUACUAUUGUGAGCCAGAAAAAUCAUUGUACUUAAACCUCCAACGCUCAAACAGAUCAAUUAAUAGUCAAAUAGCAAUAGGGAGCCAUCGGUGCUCCAAAUAAAUAGUGGUGGAGACGUUGAGUUUAAGCACAAGACUUCCCAAGAACUCAUUGGAGCCAAAUUAUUUCAUGAUACACAUGCAAGCACUCAUGAUAUGCAAUCGAGUAAGCAAUGCAAGAAAUAGUUUGAAAAGUAACUUUGCAAAUAGUUGUGGAAUCACUCACCAACCAUAGCUCAUAAACCUCAUCCAUCAUAGACAGUUUUCUCGAUCAAGUCCAAGUCCUUCAUUUCUACCAAGAGUCCACUUACUCAAAGCAAUCAAAUGCUCUCAGAGAUUGGACAGCACUUCCCCUUAAUUUUUUUAUUUUUCAUCCUACAAUACAUCACCAAUUACAUCUCAAAUCAAUCAUAAUUUAAGCCCCAAAUCAAAACCCUAAAACUGGAAUUAAUCUACACAAGCUGGAAUUUCCACAACAAACCACAAUUAACACACAAAAACUCCAUUUUACACUAUCUCAAGCUAUCAUUCCAUGACCAACCAUAAUUCACCAUAUAAAAUAGGAAAAUCACCAAUAACUAUGAAAAUUAUCAAAACUCUACUACAAUCCAUGAAACCUUCCACAAAAUAGCAUAUAUAACAUCUCUAAUCCACCAAUUAAUAAUCAAUUGAAGUAGAUAGGAAGUUCUCGGCAAGAUACCUUUAAGCCUCAAGAAAAUUGGUAGCUUAGUGCUUCCUCCUUCAAAACAACUCCACCAAUAGCUUUAAACUUCCUUAGUGAGCACUUGUAUGGAAUAGAUUGCAAAACUAGCGGUUAAAACUCAAGAUUUGGGCAAGAAAGUGAAGUAGAAAAUGAAGUUUUUCCUCUCUUGUUUUCUCUCUCAAAACAGCUGGGCAAGCAAGGAGGAAAAUGAAGAUAGCUCAGCCAAGAAACAAGAUAAGAAUGAAUAAAAAACAAUCGGUCAAAGUUGGCUGCCAAUGUGCCACGUCACAAUCCGGCUAAGAUCUGACCAAAUUUCCGGCCGGACUGUUGGCCGGAUUCGUGACAGUGGCGAAAUUCAAUUUUUUUCCAAAAGCCCUGCCAAUCCGGCCAAGAACUGGCCAAAUUUUCGGCCGGAUUCUCACUGUUCACCAAAAAUUUCCUUCUUCUUCUUUCGGGCGUCACAAAUUCUUCCCCUUGAAAGAAUGUCGUCCUCGACAUUCCAACUCGUACUAAUCAGAUCCAACUAGUUCUCGAAAGUCAGUCAAGUACUAAGAAUCACUCUAAUCUCACUUAUCUAAUAAUCAUGAUCCGAUAGAUAACUAAACAAGUAACCAGAUACAACAUGCAAAAGGGCUCGAUUCAACCAACUAGCCUUGAGUUGGACUCAAAGGCCCCAGAUAUUCAAAAAAUUCAGGACAUAACGUAGUCUCAAAUCAAAAAUUUUACCCCUGGCGGUGCUGGACAACACAACAAGCUAGCACAACGGCUAUAGUUCACCAAAGAGUCUCAGAAAUUUGUCCCUGGUGGUACUGGAUAACAUAAAAAGCUAGUACAACGGCUAUACUUCACCAGAGAGUCUCAGGAAUUUGCCCCUGGUGGUACUACAUAACACAACAGACAUGUCUCGCCAGAAGACUGGCGGUGCUGGAUAAUAUAACCGGCAAUGCCCCACCAGAGAGUCUCAAUUCACCUGCUACAGAAGAGUAAUAGAUGGUCUACAACCACACAUAUGAACAUGCAAGUCCGCAAGCAGAAUCAAUUAUUUCAAGUUCAUGGAGCACGAGUACGAAUAAAAACAUAGUCUCCUAAACAGGUUCAAGUCUCAAGUAAGCUCAGUCUAAUAGGUUUCAGACAGUUCAAGUAUUUCAAAUCUCAACACUUCCAAAUCGGGUAGUGCAAACCUUAAUCAAAUAAGAAGACUAGAAGAAGGAUGCAAAAACCAGAAGUUUUCUCAACAAAUCCGGACACCACUAUAAUCUAUCAAAACCCUAGCCAAAAUCUUAUUGAACAAGUUCUAGAUAACAUUCAUCAUUUCAAUAUCCUCAAUCGAUUAAGUCUCGAGUACAAUACAAAAUCUUCUGUGCUCUAACCUGUGCCAUACAACUUAUCUCAAAAUCACACAUCAUCAUACACUAGACCACAUUCCUUCCAAAUUCACAAGUAUUUCUUUAGGAAAAGCAUCGAGUACUCAAGUACAAGAAUCCAAAACUAAACAACUGUAAAACUCAGGUCGUACGCUAGUACCAGAAUCGGUUGAUGUACGCUUGAGAGCAACCAAGUCAUAUCUUAUGCUUACUAUUUCCAUGAUUCACAACUUACGUGCCAAAAGAAUACUUAAUCAUUUACACAUUUUCACAUUAGGACCAUUACAUCUUGUGACCCAAGUUCACUUCGCACAGAGACCACACAAAGUAGUUCUGAAUUUUAUCCUUACAAGUAGUCGCUUAACUUUCAAAUCAAUCCCACAGUCCGACACCCUAAACUUUUAGCCUAAGAUACACUACAGAGAUCUGAAACCUAAGCUCUGAUACCACCUGUAACAACCUCACCUCCCCCUAAGGCGAACCAAAAGGUUCGGCGGACCGCCUGCCCAACUCUCGCCAGGACUCAAUGCAGUCCUCAAAUAAAUGACAUCACUCACAUCCAAUAACAUAGGGUACAACCUCAAUAAUGAAUGAAAUAACAUUUCCCAAGUUUAGAACGUAUACUUACCUACAUUACAAAUCUCAAGUAGUGGUACAAUUCCCCGAAUAAGAUAAAAGUGCUCAGUUCUCAAAUAAUUAUAAUUACAAUAUCAGUUUCAAAUAUUACAUCUUCCAAAGUUCCCUGAAUUCACAUACCACAAGUGGAUCGAGUUCGAAUUCAAAUUAUACAAGAGAUAUUUCAUCCAGUCAUACUAAUAACUCAUUACACGCGCUUCCUUUGUCUUGAGCCAUAUGGAGAGGGAAAAAUAUUUUUGAGUUGAGCUAGAAACUCAGCGAGUGUCUAGUAAAAAUCAGAAAUCAAAUAAGUUUCACAAUAGUGCAUUUAGAUGAUAUCAUGGAUCAGUGAUCAAAUAUACGUUUAUUGCUCUUGUGAGUCAGGGAAAUCAUUGUACUUAAACCUCCAACGCUCAAACAGAUCAAUUAACAGUCAAAUAGCAAUAGGGAGCCAUCGGUGCUCCAAAUAAACAGUGGUGGAGACGUUGAGUUUAAGCACAAGACAUCCCAAGAACUCAUUGGAGUCAAAUCAUUUCAUGAUACACAUGCAAGCACUCAUGAUAUGUAAUCGAGUAAACAAUACAAGAAAUAGUUCGAAAAGUAACUUUGCAAAUAGUUAUGGAAUCACUCACCAACCAUAGCUGAUGAAUCUCAUCCAUUAUAGACAGUUUCCUCGAUCAAGUUCAAGUCCUUCAUUUCUACCAAGAGUCCACUUACUCAAAGCAAUCAAAUGCUCUCAGAGAUUGGACAACACUUCCCGUUAAUUUUCUUAUUUUCCAUCCUACAAUACUUCACCAAUUACGUCUCAAAUCAAUCACAAUUUAAUCCCCAAAUCAAAACCCUAAAACUGGAAUUAAUCUACACAAGCUGGAAUUUCCACAACAAACCACAAUUAACACACAAAAACUCCAUUUUACACUAUCUCAAGCUAUCAUUCCAUGACCAACCAUAAUUCACCAUAUAAAAUAGGAAAAUCACCAAUAACUAUGAAAAUUAUCAAAACUCUACUACAAUCCAUGAAACCUUCCACAAAAUAGCAUAUAUAACAUCUCUAAUCCACCAAUUAAUAAUCAAUUGAAGUAGAUAGGAAGUUCUCGGCAAGAUACCUUUAAGCCUCAAGAAAAUUGGUAGCUUAGUGCUUCCUCCUUCAAAACAACUCCACCAAUAGCUUUAAACUUCCUUAGUGAGCACUUGUAUGGAAUAGAUUGCAAAACUAGCGGUUAAAACUCAAGAUUUGGGCAAGAAAGUGAAGUAGAAAAUGAAGUUUUUCCUCUCUUGUUUUCUCUCUCAAAACAGCUGGGCAAGCAAGGAGGAAAAUGAAGAUAGCUCAGCCAAGAAACAAGAUAAGAAUGAAGGAAAAACAGUCGGUGAAAGUUGGCUGCCGAGGUACCACGUCACAAUCCGACCAAGAUCUGGCCGGAUUUCCAGCCGGAUUCGUGGCAGUGGCGAAAUUCAAUUUUUUUCCAAAACCCCUGCCAAUCCGGCCAAGAAUCUGGCCAAGAACUGGCCGAUUCUCACUGUUCACCAAAAAUUUCCUUUCUUCUUCUUUCGGGUGUCACACUCGCCUUGUAGCUUGGUAUUCCCUGAUUUCAUCUAUUUCAGAAGAGUUAGUAUCAGAAUUGACUAAGAAAUGAAUUUUAUCAUGGCCCUUGUAUAUAUAUUUGUAUGUGUAUUUCACUACCUUUAUUGUUAAGCAAAUUUUCACAUUAAUAUGACAAUUGAAUUUUGCUAGAAGAUAGGCAUUGUACGGUACUACCCUCCUAUUAUCCAAUUCAUGACCUCGUACAAAGACUUUUCUUCCAUUAUUUCUUCGCUUAUAAAUUGGAUAAGAGUUUUCACCAUGCAAUGUUUUUUCUGCCAAUCCUUAGGGCUCUUGUUUUUGCAUUUUUUGGUAGCAGUUCCUUGCGUACAAACAUUAUCAGGUUUUUUGUCAUCACAUGGGUCAUGUAUCAUGUGUUUUCGGACCAUUUUAAACAAGUGUUUUUGUUCCACAGGGUCGCGCAACUCGGCUGAUAUAAUUUGGUCAUAUGAUUCUGUUGAGUAGAUAAGCAGGAUGUAAAAUGAUAAGGUAAAAUGAUAAGGAAGUGAGCAUGUGGUAAUCCAUAUUUUUGGAAUUCUACAACAUAGGUAUAAGCUACAACUUUUUCGACGUCUUAUUACUCUCAGAUAAAUGGUCAGGUUGAAGUGUCAAACAAGAUAUCAAGUCCAUUUUGGAAAAAAUAAUUCAUCCUGAUAUAAAAGAUUGGAGUUUAAGGUUAAAGGAUACAGUGUGGGCCUAUCGAACUGCAUAUAAGACUCCUAUAGGGAUGUCUCUCUAUAGGUUGGUAUUUGGGAAGCUGUACCAUCUUCCAGUAGAGUUCAAGCACAAGGCAUUCUAAGCUGUGAGACAAUGUAAUAUGGAUCAUGAUGAAGCAGGAGUUCAUAGAAAAUUACAGUUGUAAGAGUUGGAAGAAAUCUAUAAUAAAGCUUACGAGAGUGCCGUGAUCUAUAAGAAGAGAAACAAAGUCUUUCAUGACAAGCAAAUUUCUAGAAAAAUAUUCUUAGUCAGGCAGAAAGUUCUUCUUUAUCAUUCUAGACUUUGACUUUUUCUUGGUAAAUUGCGCUGUCGUUGGAUAGAUCCUUUUAUAGUUACAAACAUUUUCCAUUAUCGUGCAGUAAAAAUACAGAGUUGAUUGAGAAGAAGUUUGUUGUCAAUGGGCACCAUCUCAAACCUUACUAUGAAGGGUUUUUAGUGGAAGAGGUGGAGAUGAUGCAACUUGAAGGCCCAACUUAUGAGCACUAAGGGCGAUUGGCAAUAUCUAGCCAAAGACGUUAAAGAAAGGCACUUAUUGAGAGGCAACCCAGUUCAUUUUUUUUGUUGUUUGUUAUUUUUUUUCUUCUAUGUUUCAACAUGUUUCUUUUAGAUUUUUCACAUUUGCUGGUUUAAUUUUUCGUUAUUGAUAAUUAGCAAACUUCCUCCCGACAAGACGCGCCCAUGCCUAGAGGGCACGUGGUAAUACUUUAAUUCUCCAUUCCACCUUCAGAAGUGUUUUGACCAACAUGAUGUGCCCACGCUUAAUUGGUUGGAGAGAUCAUAUUUCGAUUUGGAGCAGACUUGACAACAUGAUGCGUCCAUGCCUAGAGAGUACGUAGUAACUAGUAAUGCAUCAAUUUCAUCGUCAGAAGGGUUUCAACUAAUAGGACGUGCCCACAUCUUGUCCUAGGAAAGGGUAAAAAAAAUCGAAAAGCAAAAAUAUUAUUUUCCUUUUCCUUCUUCUUUCUUUCUUUUUCUUUUUUUCUUUCUUUCUUCCUUCUUUCUCUUUUCUUUCUUCUCCCCUGCCCACACCUGAAACCCUCGCUGCCGCUUCCGUUUGAGUCCACUGCUCGCACCUCACACUUCGCCAUCGGAUUGUAUCACCAUCACCACUAUCAGCCACACUCUUUUUGGAGUUCACUAGCCAUCACCGCUGAAUCGCCACCAGUUGCCGCCUGCUCGUUUCACUUUACCCAACCACCACUCAUAUUGGUACUCUUGUUCCUUCCUUUUCAAUAUUGUUAUGCCCAUAUCCCCAAAUCUAUGAGACUCUGUCUUUGCUAGUUGGGUUUAUUUGGUGAAACAGUGUUAGUGGAUAGUUGGACUGCUAUUACUUUCUAUCUCCUUAAUUUCUGGUGCUAGUGCUAAAUUGGUGUUUCACUGCUGGUCGUGGUCACUGGUGAAAUUGAAGUUAUUUAAUUGCUUGUCUCGAGUGUUUGGUAUUGCUAUUAGGAUUGUGCUUUUCAAACUUCAAUUUUUGCGGCAUUCUUCUACCAUGUGGGUUUCACACUGCCAUUCUCGCCUAUUCCAUAGCUGUCUGAAACCUCCCUCUCCGGUGCUCAGAGAAGUCUCGUUGCCCCUUCUCUUUCGUUUUGCUCUUUUUUGUUACAAUGUAAUGAUUAGGUGUAGGGGAAUGCUACUAUAGUGGGUACUGUUCAUUUUAGAUGUUUUAUUUUCUUUUUGUUAUUUUUGGACAGUUUAUAGUUGGUUGUGAUCAACAAUGAUUAGACCGUUCAAACUUUUCUAUUGCUAAAUUUUCUUAUGAGUUGAGUUGACAUGCUGAAGUCUAAGCAUAUCUUUUUUGGAAAAUGUUAAAAAUUUUGUGACUUUUGCAGUUCUUGACUAAUUUUUUUAGGCAGUAUGAAUAUUUUCUGGUAUCUGCUAUGUGAAUUAGUCAAAUAUUAACUUUAGUUCUCCAUGUUUGAAAAACAAAACAGGUUCUCUGAAAUUUUUCUUUAUUUAUUUACUAUUUAUUUUGGGUGUUGUUUAAAUGCUAUUUGGCUAUACCCCAUUAGUGUCGUCACCUAAUAAUCGAGAGCCUUCACAAAAAAUGUCAACUUUUCCGUAAAAAGUGGUGAUAUCUAUGAGUAUGUGGUCCUAAAGCGAUGAAAAGUUGAGUAAUCGGACUCCUUCAUUUGGUAGAUGUCGGAGUUCACAUCAAAAAACUUGAUUGGCUAUGGACUAAGCCCUAUUCCAUCAAAAAAAAAAGAAAAAAAUGAGAGAGAGAACAUGAAAAAAAUGGAAUUGUACCUGCUAAUCCAUGGGUUUAAUGUUGAGAUUUUGAUUAAUAGUUAACCCGUUUACUAAUAAAUGCCAGUUUGAUAUUCUAAUCUCUUAAAUUAGUUAGUUGAGAACUGGAUGAGUUUUUUAAUUUUAGGAACUAAUUGAAGAAUAUGUCUUGGAACUUAGCCACUAAGGCUUGACGGGGGUUAAUUGUAUCUUGGCAACAGAUGGUUUGAGUUGUUGAGUUUAUUUGUUGAACAGUUGUUCUCAUGCUUGAGAACAAAUAUGGUCUAGGUGUGGGGGGGGAAGGGGAAUUGAUAAGGUGCAAAAUCGCUAUUUAAUUUAUGAUUAUUUUUCCCUUGAUUUUAGCAAAAUAUUAUUUUAAUUGAUGGAUUCUACUUAUAUUUGGUUAAUAGUGCUAAUUGUAGGAAAAUGAACAAAACGUGAUUAAAAGGGGUAAUUUUCUAGUUAAUUUGAUGGUGGCAUGUUCGAGGCCGAUUUCCAAGUCCAAAUCGAACUCAGGGCAGCUUUUAGGGGAAGACUUUGAAGACUUUAAUUUUCAUAUUAGUUUCAGUAUUGGAUUAGGAAACUUCGAAUAUUAUCUUUAGUAGUUUUCUGUUUCUAUUUUGAGGAACAUGUCUUAUUAUUAGUAGUUGAUGUUAAGUGGGAAACAAAGGGAGAAAGAGGAAAGCCGGAUUCCCGUUUGAUUAGGAGUUGGCCAGCAACAAUUUCGGCAAGGACUCUUUGAUUAUCAGACAGCUGUCACUUGUUUCAUUAUUCUUCUUGCUUUUUGUUAGUUUUAGAGAAAAUCAUAUGCAAUCAGAUUCAAUGAAGUCGUGUGAAAUUUUCUCCAUGAUGCGGAGCUAAAUUCCUUUUUCUAGUCAAGGGUCGACUUGAAGUCACGGUUUCAGACACCUGUAAGAUUGAAUUAAUUUUAUUGCUUUCUUUUAUUCAUUGAUAUUUGUACGUUUUCUACUUUAAUUUCUCAUGAUUAUUUUGUUGUUUGAAUGUCAAGGGAUCGAUAUUCGAAUUAACUUAAUAAUUUACUGCCAGUUAAUUGAUUAAAUCCGUAAUUGUUUGAUCGAUUAACAUGAGUGGCAAUUAGCGUGAUUGGUCCCAUGUUAGGGAAAUGUAUGAUUUAAAUUAAACAAACCCUUGUAGCGUGUUUGUUGGUUAGGAUUGGGUUUUUUUAAUUCUUAAUGCGAUUGAGGAAUUAAAUCCUAAAGUCGUACCUUGGGUUGUUCCUUGAUUAGGGGAAUAGUCAAUAGUCAUACCUUAACUAUCGAAAAAAUAAGAAAGAGUUGGUUGUCAGAGUUUGUUGAUGACUAUAACCAAUCUAUGAGUAAAUAUUUGAAUUAUUUUUGCAUAAGUGAUCAGUUGUAUGAACCGUGGUUGAGAAGUUAUACCUUUGGUUAGAGUCGCAUCUCCUGUUAAUUUAAUUCUCGCUUAUUGUGUUGUUCAUUUGACUUUUAGUUAUUUCUGCAAUUUGUUGAUUUUUUACUUAGUACUCAAGAUUUAGUGAUUAAUUAGAUACUUUUAAAUUUACAAAAUUCCCCUCUCGUAAUUUUAGUCUUGAAAGGAAUAGAUUUUUCCCAAUCCCUGUGGAUAUAACCCUACUCACCACUAUUUACAAAAUCUUUAUUUUUCUCGAGUAAUUAUUUAUUAUUGUACAAACUCGACACCUGUCAACAUCACACUUAAUCCACACUAUCUACUCCGGAUGCAACACUCUCUAGGACCCACUACUAACCUCCCCUGCAACCCCUAAUAACAACUACCACCACCUCUUCCUCUCUAGCAGCUAACCCCCUCCUCUUCCCCUUUUCUAUGCCACCCCACCUCUUCUCCUCUUCCAUUUCACCUCCUUGUCACCUUUAUCCCCCUCUUUCCUUAUUUUGCUUUCCUCUCCUCUCCUUCCUUUCCACUUUCUCCCGUCUCCUCCUUUUCCCUAACCCUCACCCACCUCCCCUGUCUCUUCCCACUAAUCCGCUUUCCCCUAAUCUACUUUUCCACUAUCCACCACUGUCACCCUCUCUCUUCCCCUUCAUUUUUUUCUUUUUAUCACUCCUUCUCCUUCUAUCUCUUUCUGCCUUCUCCUCCUUCCUCAUUCCCUUUCUCCUUCCUCCCUCCCUAUUUCCGCGACCCCAACCCUUUUCUUUACUUGAACUCUUCCUGUGACCCCCGACCCUCUUCUCUGCCCGAUCUAGACUAGAUUUGGUCCAAAUCACGAUCUACUGUGGAUCGCAAUCUAGACUAGAUCUGGUCUAGAUUGGACAAGAGAUGAGGACUAGAUUUGCAAGAAGAGGGAGGGAGAAAGGAGUGGGAGAGAAAAAGAAAAAAAGGAGGGGCAGUGAGUGGGAGGCAGCAAUAGAGAGGGGAAGGAAAGAGGAAGAUGCAGAUGAAGGGAAAGAAACUUUGAAGGGGAGGGAGGGGAUAGUAGCAGUGAGGAGUGAGAGAGGAGAAAAGAAGAAGGAAGAGGGGAGCGUGGCGAUGGUAGUGACAGCAUUGUGGAAGAUGGUGGUAGAAUGGUGUGGGUAUUUUUUUAGUAUAUUUUUUUAUGUUGGAGUUUUUCAAAAACUUCGUGAGUAUUUUUAGAGGGUCAUUUUAGGAAAGCUGAAAAAAAUUUGUCAAUUAAAAAUAUGAAAAAGGAUACCAAAUGGACCCUUGGAGAACUACUUAGAUUGCACAUGGUUGGUGGUUCAACGAUUAUAGUUUCAUUGAAAAGGAUUACGUUGAUUGCACUUGGUUGGUGAUUCACUGCUUAUAGAAGGGUCUUAUUCAAAAUAGUUGUGGAUUGCGUUUGGAUUGAUGAAUUUGGAUUCAAUGCUUAUAAAAUUGAGUUUAUUUGAAAAGAAUUAUUGGUUGCAUCUAGAUUGAUCGGAUUGGAUUUGAGCAAGAAUGCCAAAUGGAUGAAUCUCAAUUUCUACAAUUUUAAAUAGUGACAAAUUACACUUGACUUCUUCAAGAAAAAUAGAGAUGAGAGGAAAGAGUGAAGAUAAAGGAAAAGAAGAAUGGAAAAAAUAACCAAAAAUAAAGGGAAAAUAGAAAGAAAAGAAAGUCAUCUUUUUUUUUUUUUAUAAACUACAUAAAACUUGGGAAAAUAUGAGAAAUUGAAUGGAAGCAAAAGAAAGAAAAAACUACUAAAAUAGGCACUUUACAAAUAAGAUUUUUGUUUAAGUUUGCAAAACCCCUUAGUGGGGAGGGGAUGCAGACCCAAAUUUUAUUAAAUUUAAAAGGAAAAGAAGAGGAACAUAAGUCUAAUCUCCAAUGCAAAAUGCAAAGAAAAAAUACUAAUAAUGUCUACUAUUGGGUUUAGGGUUCGAACCCUGAACUUGACAGUUAGGGAUAGGAAGAGUAUGAGGAGGGGUGACAGUAUAAUAAUAAUAAUAAUAAUAAUAACUAUAACUAUAAUAAUGUAACACUUCAAUAAUAAUUUAUUGGAAUUCAAUCUAAGAAACUGAUUAAAACUUCAAUGUCAAAUUUUAAUUGUUCAUCAAGAUUUCAAAUCAGCAUCUACAAACUCUUGAUCUGUAAACUAAGACGAGAAAAAGAAAUCUUGAAUAGAAGAGAUAAUGAUUAAUUUGCAACAAGACACAUCCUUUCUUCUGGCAGGUGACUAUGAUAAAGAGAGAGAACCAAUAUGACAGAUUUGUAAGUGCUAAGGCUAAUAUAAAUCUUGUUCUCAUUGGUAGUUGCAUUAUCCAUAGAAACUGUAUAAAUCUUAUUCUCAAUCCUCAGUCUUUGACACACUUAAAAAUUGUAGCCGAGAUUUGAAUUCAUCUUCUUGGUGGAAGUAUGUAGACAAAGCUAAGAACUCGCUUUUGCAGCUUUCAGCUUUGAUCAAUCCAGUGCCUAGUGAGCACCAUGUACUCGAUCCUCUGGUUUUUAGACUUACACAUAUCUAUUGUGAGGUUCACUUUGUUAGUGCACAUUAAGAGUUUUUGUGAGACCAUGAAAUUUUACUUUUCUUUAUAACCCUUAUGUGAACUCACUUACCUUUGAUUCUUGGUUGCUUUAAUGGUUAAAUUUGAGUCAAGGGAGUGAAUUCUGUUAAGAAAAGUUUCAUAAUUUCAAGUUAGAAAAUCUAGGAUUUUCGCAGAAGGCUCUGCGCAGCUUUGGAAAAUUGGCUAUAACUUCAUAUUAGAAAGUCAGAAUUGAGUCCCGUUUAUUGCGUUUGAAACUAGACUCAUAGAAAUUCCUAUGGUGUAAAAUUUAGAGUUUGAUUCAAUCUCUAUAAAUUCCAGAAAAUUAACAAAGUUGACUGAAAAUUCUGUCCUGCACAAGUAAACAUAGGAAUGUUGUAGUAGCUUAUGGCUCAAUUUGGACAAACUUAUGAACUAAAUCUCUUUGAGGUGUCUUCUAAUGAUUAUUAGUAUUUGAAGUCUAGUUUUUAAUAGGCUAAGUUUUAUGAAUUUUUUAUAUUUAUAACUCAAGUUGUGAUUUUUCUAAAGGAAUAGCAUAAGUUAGGGUUUUUGUGCAUAGUAGGGUUUUUGGUGUGUUUUGGUGCAUUUUGGAAGUGUGAUCACUUGGUAACGUGUGUAUACUAAAUUUGGUGGAUAAGAAUGAAUAUUAGGUAAGAAAAGUGUGUGAUUAGAAGUGUUAAUAAUAAGUGAGUGAACCAUAAGUAAAAACACAAGUACGCGCGAGUUAGAGAAAAACGGCUCGAACCAACGUGCACCGUUUGCUACCAAAUGAGUGCACCACUUGAACACUACUUUAUUACCUUAAUCUUCUUGUUAUUUAUUGAUUAAAAUCAGCCCCAAAAUAUCCUCAAGGCAGCCGAAAUAUUGGACCAAGAAAAAGAGAGAAAAGAAAGCAAAAAUGAGAAUUAUUCUUGUGGUGACACUUGUCGGAUGCAUAGGAAAUUUUGACCAAGCAUUUGUCUUUCCUUUUUAUCUUCUUCUUGGCUCCAUUUUCUUCCAUUUUUGUUGAGCUUGGCUGAAAUUUUAGGGAAGGAAAAACCAAGAGAGAAACCUUCAACUCCAAGUUUAACUUGUGCUUGAAUCUUGAGUUCCAAUCAAAGUUUGUGCAAACUACUCCAUAAAACUUGCUCACUAAGGAGAUUUAUAGACUUUGGUGGAAUGAUUUUGGAGAGGAAAGCUCUAAGCUACCAUCUUUCUUGAGGUUACUUUGGUAAGAAACUUCCCUCUACUUCAUAUAUGUGUAAACUAGUAGCUUAAAGUUGUAGUUUUGGUAGCUUUGUGAGGAAAUUUCAUGGGUUGAAGUAGUAUCAUAGUAAAUUUUAGUUUUAUGAUGAAUUCUCUGCUCUUAUAUAAUACUUAGUGAUUGGACAUGGUUUGAUAACUUAGCCAUGUGUAAUAUUGAGGAAUUAUAUGCUAGUUUGACUUGCCUAAAGAAAUUUCCAACUUUAGCUUCAAAUUCCCAGCAUUGAUAGUGAUGAAUCUGCCCUGUUACUAACCUACAUAUUCGUCCAUGUUAGAAGCCAAAUUAGCCUUAGGUUAAAACAUGAAAGUUGUAGAAAAUGAUGUUAUAUAGCUGCUUAUUAAAGUUCAGCUCAAUCAGAGCAUUGUAGCAUAUGAAAUGGACAAAUACCCCUGAUUGCCAAAAGCCUCAUUUCGUGGACAGUUUUGAGAUUUUACAAGUUUGGCUUCAUUUUUCACCUUGAUCCGUAUCAAAUCAGCCUUUGGCCAAAACAAAAACUUUUAACCCUAUGUUUCAGCUUUCCAAUGCAUCUGAAAACUCCUCAAUCGGAAUUGUGUAGCUUGAGUUAUUGCCAUUUGAAUCCAGUGCUGACAACCAGACUGACCAUGAACUUCUGAUUCUGUAAUCUGCAAAUUCGACCUAGAUAAACUUUGAACUGGGUUGAGUUGUCUUCAUAAACGUUGUAACCCUUUGUCUUAGAUUCGAAAUAGUAUAAAGUGUACCCCAAUCCAAUAAACGUAGCUCCAGUUGUGAGCAAAAUGCUAUAAGAUGUCAAAUCUGUUGUUUAGCUUUUGUCUUCAAAACUGACUUCCAAUUAUCUUAUUCGGCUUGUGUUGUAAAUGAAUGAUGUUGGAGCCUAUUGAAGGGCUAUGUUGGUAACAUUACUUGUGUGUGAUUGUGGGGCUGAAUUGAGAAAAAUAAUGAAGUCAUAAAUGACUGGAAAAUAGGUAAACACAAAGGGCGUGCUGCCCAAAUUUUCACUCGAGAGUUAAGCAUAUGUACCUGCGACUUGAGCGACGAUUUGAGGUCAAGUUGAACUUGGAUCGCCUAUGGUAUUCGAGUUUUCUUUAGUCAGGAUAUAUAAGCUAAAAUUUUGCCGAAACUCGUACCCUUGAAAAGUGAAAGUAGCGACCCUUUCAAAAUAUAAUUUUUCCGGUCUUUGAUACCAAGUGUAACUUUUAAAGUCGAAACCACUUCUUGAUGAAAACUAAACGAGCGAGCAUGAAUUUUUCGAAAUUUGAUAAGUAUCUUGAAUACUACUUAAAUGAGUUGCAUUUACUUGAUUUUCUUGAAGCGAAACUCCUAUGUUUCGAACUCUAGAGAGUUUUACAUUCGUAAAUGAUAUUUUAUCGCAGGUUUGGACUCCAACUAAGGAGUUGGACCUGAACGUGACUUUUGAGAGGCACUAGAUCUUUGGUGAGUGCUUCCAAAUACCUGAUUGAACUGAACACUUAUUUUCAAUACUUGACCAAUGUGAUCGAAUGAUAUGUGAUUGGUAUGAUCGGGCAAGGGUGUACUUUAUUGCAAUUGCUCUAAUGUGAUGUGUACUCGUUAUUAUUGUAAGUGACUUGAUAUACUUGUGCGUGACUUGUAAGUACUGAGCGACAGUAUGUACCACACUCGAUCCGAGUGGGAGAUACCUCUCAUUCCCAUCUCUGUACUUUUAUCUUGAUUCAGUCGAUUGGAAAUGUUAUCUCAUCGAAUUCUUAGGAACCCAAACCCCACUGGCUAGUUAAUCGAGUCCAGCCGGCAAGGGUUUGGUCGAUUAGAUAACGAACCAUGGGUAUCUAGUGUUGUCGAGUGGAGUGUUAUCUCCUCGACUAAUCAAUAUGCUCGAGUAUUACCACCGGUGUUUAUCGUGGAGUUCAGGCCCGGUAAGGGAUUUGAUUGGUGGACGGAGAUUAGAGUUAAGUGGUGUACUACUGGACUAGUUACUUUACUUGAAAGUUGACGAAGUGUCAACUAAUACUUGAUCAAGCUCUGGUGAAGAAAUGGGAAUUUGGCUCCUGAGAGCCAUCUGUAUCCUUAUACAUUGAUUGUUAUUCGAAAUGUUAUUGUUCUUUUGGAAAACAAAAAGAAUUUUCACUUGCUCAUUUUGACAUUUGCUAUUUGAAGUGUUAUUACUCACUUUUAUGAACUUGUUAUGCUCGCUAUUUUGCUGCGUGAUAUUUGUACUUUUCAAUAAUGGUCAACUUGCUAUACGAAACCUCACUGGACUUUUAGCUCAUUCCACGCCAUUUGUUUUCCUUAUAGGAGGUACGAGUGAGGUGUGAGACUGGUACAGGCUAGCGUAGUCUAGUAGUUUUUGAAUUUUGUGAUUGUACUCGCGUUAGUGCUCGAUUAGGACUGAAUAUAUCUGAAACUCACAUCUUUUGAUAUAUAUGAGAUUGUACGAAUGUUUGAAAUAGAACUGAAUGUACAUGUAUGUUCCAAGUUUGGGAACUGGUAUUUCUUUUACUCUUGAGGGUAUAACCUAUUAUAUUUGAAGUGAGUGAGUGAGUCCUGGCGAGAGUUGGGCAGGCGGUCCGCUAAACCCUGGGGUACACCUUAGGAGGGGUGUGGUCAUCAGAGUUUUUCAACUUCUUUUUCUCCAACUCAAAAAGUUGGACACAAUCAUUCUUUCCCGUUACACGUGAGAUCUUAGUCCACUUAGGCAUCAUCCGUUUCAUCAUUAGGUUAAAACACUUUUCCUCUAAAAUGCUGAAGGGAUGUUUGUCUAUUAGAAUCUAGCAGGCAACUACUUCCUGCAUUUUUUCUAUGUCCACUUUACCCGAAUGCGGGGGGUGGAACUGCUUGUAAAGUAGAAUCGGAAGGCUGAAAUUUAACUUUGUCUGCUGCUUCUUUCUAAUCUUUGCUUUUCUAGCUGGGCAAGAGCUCUGAUGCCUCCACAUGUUUGUGGUUUAUUUUGUUUAGUCUCUAGAUAAUUUCUUGUUGCAAUGCAAGCAAAUGGCAUAGUAAUGACCAUAUUCGUGGAAUUCCUUGUAGUCAUCCUAGGCAUCAGAUGUCUUGGUUAUUUUAGGAAUGCGAGAUUCAUCAUCUCCUUCAGUUAGGUCAAUUGAAUCUAUAGUAUUUUUUAUCUCUCCUAUCUCCCGCAAGUGCUCCCUCAUCACCCAAACCAUCUCUCACAGCUCCCCGCAACUCCCCUAUUCUCAAGACUCACAAAGAUUAGGCUAUCCAGUUGUAGUGGAGUGGUAAAUUCAGCAGCCUCCAAACAAGUACAUGGGAUGAAUUAUACCUUAGGCAGACUAAUACCGAUACCUGUGGCUGUGAUAGCAAUGAAGGAAAUUCAAUGAAUUACCACUUAACUGUUGAAUGCAGCCAUAGAGGUCUUAGUUUUUAGUUUCAGUUUCUAGUUUUAACAAUAUGGCUCAUCAUUUUCAUUCUAGAUUUAGUUUCUAGCUUUAACUGGUUUUAGCUUCUAGCUUUGGUUUCCAUCUUUAACUAGUUUUAGUUUCCAGUUUCUGUCUAGAUUGUCUUUGGUUUCUAGUUUUAACUUUUAACUAUAUAUUAGAAAGACAAUAUUUUAACUAUAUGUUAGAAAGAUGUUUAGUGUAGUUCAAUUUUAGUUUCAUUGCUACUAUUUUAAAUGCUCUACACCAGGGAAGAAGAAGAAAUAAGAAAGGGGAAAAGAAACAAAAAUUUGCUUAUUUGUCACACAAACACUUGGGCCAAUACUUCUCUUGGUUGUAAGUAAAACUAAUACAGGAUGCAUUUCUCAAUAGAUGUAAGUAGUAACGGAGUCGUAAGACCUUGAAAAUAGUGGUUUAAGUUGGCCUAGCUCCUCUUAUAGCUGUGGCACCUAAUACCAAAAUGUUUAUCGAAGAAGCUGUGAUAUUUUCCAUCAUUUUUUAUUGGUACUCACACCUCUCUUGAGCUAUUUGGAUUCCAGCAACACAAGUUCUAUCCACAGCGCAAAUGCCUAAUGCAACUUUAUUUUACUAUCACUAUUCCUCCUUGUAAUUUCCUACAAUAUUAUACAUCUAUAUAAAAACUCUCAAUAACUAAUAUCCAGAUUCCAAAAGCAAUAACUAAGAGUUUAAGACCAACAUUAUUUGACCAACGUGCUAUUCCAUAACACAAGCUCAUUUUGACCUCUUCAAAUUUCAGUACUUUUCAUCUUAUCUCUACAAUUCUUCACAAGUCUUAUUAUUGUAUAAUACACUUCUAUAUUAUUAUGUACAUAUCUUAGAUUUAUGACAAAUUAGAUUAUUGAAUCAAACUAAAUGGUAAUGACUUUCACAGAUACGAAAUAGAGAUGAUACUUUAAUAAAAAUUUGAUAAUUUAAAAAGUGCUAGGGUGUUAGCUUGCUUUAGUCUAGACUGUAGUUGCUUGGUUGUUAAACUCUUGAAAUGGUAUUGUAUCAAUAAUAUUUUGUCAUUUUUAAUAUUUUUACAUAUGGGGACUUAUAUGCAAUUGAUUCCAUUGGUUUUAAAUGUCAUACCAAAUCUCUCACAGCAUUCUUUUACCUAUCCAAGAAAAGUUUUAGAACCUUAUGUAUUCUAUUUACAUCUUUACAUCAACCUGUAACUAAUUCUUUCAUAGCUUUUCAAAUUUUUGUCAAAAUAUUUGAAGCAAACCAAUAUUUGAAGCAAACAAAUAUUUUACCAGAAAAAACCAAUAACAUCCCACAAAUUAUAAUACCCAUUUUCAGUUAAAUUGCACAAACUAUAAUACAAGCCACAUCAAUAGAAAUCUUUCCCACAUCAAUAGCAUUUUCAGUUAAUUUUGACGAGAUUGCAUGCCUCGGACUUCAAACUUUCAACUACUAUUCUCACAGUCUAAGGCUCUAUUCUUCACUACUUCGUCGAUGGAUGACAAACCACCAAAAACUCCAGCUCCAGCUACAAGCUCUCCAUGCUGCUUGAUUGCAAGCUCCAACAACAAGCUCACAGACCAACUCUGGCCGUAAGCUCUUACACCGAGAUCAGCUUCAUCCCUCUCUCUAUUUCUAUUCUUAAUAGAUUUUGAGAAUGGAGAGGAAUUGGGGAUUUUGAUUCAAUCGGAUAUGAAGAAUAGGGAAUAUUUUAGUUCUUGGAAACCCUAAUUGGAGAUAGAGAUUGGUGCAUCGGAGAUGGAGAUAGAGAUUGGAAGCCCUAAUAUGAAGAUGAAAAAUAUUGCUUGGUUUGGGGAUUUCAUUGUUCAUGACAAUUUUUGGAGCGUAAAGACGUUACCACCCUUCAAAAAAUUUCAUAUGAAGAGUAACAUUUUGUAAAUUCAACUACUCUUGUGGGCAUAAGGAUAAUUUCAUAAUAAUAAUAUAUUAAAGAGUUAAAAUUAAAAAACUUGAUAAGGCUCAGUGAGCCUCAAACCUUGCUACUAAAUACUUGAACUCGACUUGCUAGACCAAUUGAGCUACUUAUACUUGACUCGAACUCAGUCAAGUCGCAUGCAGUUCGAUUCAAUUAUAGCUCUACUUGAGUUGAUACGUGCAGUGUUCGUGCUUAUCACCGAAUUAUGGUUAUAAAUGAGCAAAUUUGUGUAAAUUACUUUAUUUCUUGAAAAUAGCGAUAUGAUUUGUAUUACUAAUUUGUAUACUUAUUAUAAUAUUGUAAUUAUCUUUUACUCAUAAUUUCAUUCUUGUUUUAGUUAUUUACAGUAUUUGAAAAAUCAAUACAAGCUGUAUAGUUUAAAAAUUGAUAUAUGUUUGUCAUAAUAAAAAAAAGUGUAUAUUACUAACAAUUUAACUAUUUAGAAUAUUAGCAAACAAGGAUUUAAAUUACUUAAUAUCUAAAAGUAUAUCACAAAAAAAUAAAGUACUUUAUAUUUUUAUUUACUUUUGUUUAUGUAUAAUUGAUUAAACAUUUUGUUAUUACGAUAUGAAUUUGUUACUAUUGUUAUUAGAAAUUAUUUUAUUCAAAUCUCUAAACAUAUUGAUUUAAUUAAUACAUAAAAUAAUCUACACACAUGUGUAACAUAUACUUUGGUAUAUCAUAGAUUUUAUGGUUAUUAUUACUUCCAAGAACAAAAGGUAAAAAGUUAGAAAUAAAUAAAGAAUAAGUUUAGGAAGAUUAAAAUUAAUGUAUAGAUAAUGAUAGCAAGGAGAAGAAAAAGUAAUUGAUCACGUUUGAGAAGCGAAAAGAGAGAAAAACAAAAAAAGGAACAAGUAAAAAAAGGACAAAAUGGAGAAAAAUGAAAGAAAAUAAUAAUAUAGAAGGGAUACUUUUAUCCAAAAACAUGAAGGGGGAGGGGGGAGGAGUGCCUCUAUAUUGAGUUAAGAGAGAUAAAGUGCAAUUGAGGUAUUAGCCUUGAGGAACAAGAACUAAAUUGGUAUUUACCAUUGUACUUGUUUAGAAAUGCACGUGCAGUGUACGUGUUUACCUUUUCUUGUGGAAGCAACUCCAAGGUUAUUUUCCUUCCUUAGAAACAAAACUUGAAAAUAACAUGAAUAAAUACAAGGAUUGAAAUUAACAUAACGUAUCCUUAUCAUAUACCGGUCAUUAAUUAUUUCUUAUUUCAGUAUCACCUAAUUGCAAUAUAAAUAAAUACUCAAUCUCGAUUUCCUUAGUAAUGUAUUCCACAGGAUUACAAGUUACAAUCCGAAAGGAAUAUUUUGUCUUAACAUAUCAACCCCACAUAAGAACCCAUAUAAGGUCGUUUUUAUGCUUGAUAGGAAAAUGAUUUGACUUUUUUCACCCAUUAAAUAUAUAAUACCUGAAAAGGAAUUUGGUUAUGGCUAAUAUGAUCUUUUUAUUUUUUAAUCUUUAUAAGCAAAGUAAUUAAUUACAUCAAAAAAUUAUUUAAUUAGCACAUAAGUUUAUGUGUGCAACACAUAUGGGCAAUUUAGUCAUCUUAUUUUUUUCAAUUAAAAUCAGCUUUUAGUUUAAUGAAUGCCCAAUGAACACCAGUUAGAAAAACUCAGGAUAUGGGGCACAAAUAGUCAUCAGAGGAACCGUUCAGGAGCGGUCCUCUCACAUUAUGAAACAAGAGGUCCAGCAAUAGCCACGUCGCCAAGGAAUAAGCAAAGACAAAAUGACCUCGUUUUAAUUAGUUAGGCUAAUGAGAAAAAUUAAAGGGAUUGCUUACCCUAACAAACUCUGUUAGAGCCAAAUGGGCUUUUCAAAAUUUUAAAAUUUGAAAUGAAUUUGUGAUUUGGUUUGUAACUUUGAAAUGAAACCCGGGAAAAAUCACCUACCAUAAUAUUGAACAAAACACCAUUCUCUAUCUAGCUAGGAAAGGGAAAAAAUUAGUAGAAAGAUAAACUUGCAUACAUUAAGUUUUGGGGAGGAGGGCAGAAUCUAUUGGAAGGAGAUGUGUGGGGUAAUUUGAACUGAAGAAGGAAGGUGCACUUUGUCUUUCUUAUGUUGGUGGUGGAUUUCAACUAUAGAAUCAUCGAGAAGAAAGGUACAGUAACUUUGUACCACACAAUAUUCCAACCACCAAGCAUAAUAAGGGUGAUAUGAAAUACGAAAGAGGCCAAAUACAGCUAUAUCCAUCUCCAACUAAUUCGGUAAAGUGUACAGUGAUUUGAAGCAAACCAUAUAUAGCAUGGUAGUCAAACACAAUGUCGGAGUCCGACGAAGGUAAUGGCACUAACCCAUUUAUUGAAUUGUGGUUACUUGUGGGCUCAAAAAUAUACAAUCGUAAUCGGCAAAAGAAAUCAUUUGUAAAGUUUGUGUAUGAGGACUAUAUGAUAAAAUGAUGAGCAAUUAUGUGAUAGCCAAUCAUUGUGUUUAUGUGUUUGUACAAAAAGCGAUGCAAUAGUUACACUAGUUUGGUAUGAGUGCACAUGUGCAAAUUUCGUUACUCUGUCAUCGGGCCUUAGAGAGUAUGCAUUGCCCAGAUAUGAUUUAUGAGUAAAUCAUAAGCUAUUAAGUGGAUGGCACGACAUAUAUAAAGAACUAAGUGAUGUACUUUAUGUCUGUUAGAGUGUGUAAUUUGUUACUCAUCGAUAAAGAACUAAGUGUACACAUGGUGUGUGGUUGUGUACAAUAUGUUUUCCAUAGUGUACAUCUUCUUGUUAGGUGAAAAUUACGGUAUGUAUAUUGUAAAAUGAAGGGCAAUGAUAUGCACAGCUUUUUACUAGUUGUAGAAGUCUCAAACUGGUGCAACAUCUUGGAUUGGAUUUGCUUUUGCAUAAUUUAGUGCUAAUUUACAUGAUAUACCUUAUGAACAGUGUUUUUAGAAGUGUAAACCUUGUGAGUUGCAAUUUGUUAAUUUGUGGUAUGAGUAUAAUUAAGUCUUCACCUUUCUCUUCCUUACAUAGUUUGUAUAGCGUAGCAAAUGUCGCUAUGUGAGCUAUAUUGCAUUUUAGAAACUUUGGUAUAGUUCAUAUUUCCAUAUUUUUGUAAAGUGUGCACAUUGUUAGUGGAUAUGGUGUAGUGUUGUAUGUUUUGUAUGCUCGCAUAGUCAUAAAUUUAUAGCAAUUAGCCUAUUACUUAAAUUUGCAUUUGGUUAUUGGUUCUUAUGUACUGUCAUGUCAUAUGUAUGACACAUAAAGUGAGAAUGAACUUACUAUACUGUUGCUCAUUGGCUACAUGGAGUUCAUAUAGUUGUACAAUGGGUGUCUGAUUGGAUAUACCCUAUAUGUAAUUGAUAAUCAUGUAAAACCUUUUCGCACAACUUGUACAUUAAAUGGGUCAUAUUGUGAUAACUAACGUACAUGCGUGAUUUUUAGGAAUUGGCAUUGUGGAAAGCAGCAAGUGGACAAAAGGUGGAACUCCACAAUUAGGAAUGGAGUUUGACAUAGAAGAUAAUGCCUAUAAAUUUUACAACAAAUAUAGUUUUGUCAAGGGUACUAUAUAGCUUUCUUUGCAAUCAUUCAAGGUACUUGUUAUAGCUGAUAAGUUGUUGUAAAUGAACCUUUCUCACUCACAAUAUUUUUGUUGCUUUUUGUGAAAAGUUUAGACCUUUUUGACAAUUUCACCAAAUUUACAUGAAAAAGCAAGCAAUGUAGUCCUAUUAUUAAUCCAAGUAAUCUAUAAUUGUAUUUGUUGAAGAAGAUUUGAGUAACAUUGUUGUGCUUGUACAACCCUCCUCAUUUGUUAUGUUUAAUUGACAGUGAUCCGUUUAAUGUGUAAGUUGGUUUAUUACUGUCACCACAGCUAGGAGACAAUAGAAAUCGCAUCCAACCAGCCAUAAGAACAAUGUUAACAUUGUAACAUCGACCAAUAAAUUUUUAUGUAUCUUUAUUUGUAGCAUCGACAAAUCAAUUGUGUAAAUUUUUAGAGUUUAAAGUGAAUUACAAAACAUGAAAUUAUUUAUAUUCAUCUUAAUCAGAUUUACAAAUUGUUCAUAGAGGGCGAGGAAUGGAUGUAAUGUUCUUGAAAUGGCUUGUAAUAUAGUUUUUACUAUUUGUAUAAUUUCAUAAUAGAAACACAAUUAUUAUGAUUAGAACCUACCUAAGCAACAGCUAAAUUUAUCACACUUGUAUUUUGAGGUUGUACAAGCAAUUAUUGAGGUACAACUUGUGUAGACAAUGUUAUAUUGAUCAAGAACAAAUUAUUUCAUGUUACAUUAAGAAUCCUAAAUUGCUAGAGCUUAGGUUGUCCUAAAUUUAUCACACUUAUGUUGUGAGAUUAUACAAGCAAUUAAUGAGUUACAAAUUGUGUCGAUGAUGUUACACCGAUUAGAAACAGUUUAUUUUCAUGUUAUGUUAGGAAACCUAAAUUGCUAGAUCUCAGGUAGUGCUAAAUUUAUGACGCUUAUAUUGUAAAGUUGUACAUGUAAUUAAUAAGGAUGUACAACUUGUGUAAACAGUAUUACACUGAUCAAGAAAGGUGAAUUUUGUGUUAAGCUAGGAAUCCUAAAUUGCUAGAAUUUAGGUAGUUCUAAAUUUAUUACACUUGUGUCAUGAGGUUGUACAAGCUAUUAAUAAGGACCAACAAAUUGUGUAGACAAUGUUACACUGGUUAGGUAUUGUGUCAGGAAUCCUAAAUUGCUAGAAUUUAGGUGAUGCUAAAUUUAUGAUGCUUGUCUUGUGAAGUUAUAUGAGCAAUUAGUGAGGAUGAACAACUUGUGUAGAUAGUAGAUAGUAUUUAUACUAAUUAGGAAUCGUUUAUUUUGUGUUACAUUAGAAGCCCAAAAUUGCUAGAAUUUACGUAAUCCUAAAUUUAUUACACUUGUGUUGUAAUGUUACACAAGCAAUUAAUAAGGAGUUGCAGGCUAUGUAGACAGUGUUACACUGAUUAGGAACGAUUUAUUUUCAUAUUGUGCCAGGAAUCCAAAAUUGCUAGUGUGACAACCCCACCUCCCCCUAAGGCGAACCAAAGGUUUCGGCGGACCGCCUGCCCAGUUCUCGUCGGAAUUCAGUCGCUCACUACAGUCCUCAAAUAGAUUACAAUAUAAAUCUUAAAUAUACAUCAAAUUCUCCAAUAAUUACAUGUCAUAAGCGAAGCGGAAACAAUUUCCAACUAUACAUAAAAUGAUUCCAAAUCCAAACUGUACAAGAUAUAUGCCAUCCAGUCACGUCAAUAAGUACUACAAGCCUUUCUUCGCCACGAGCCUUGUGGAGGGGAAAUAAAAAUAGUUUUGGGGUGAGCUAAAAUCUCAGUGAGUAACCAAUAAAAUCAGUAAUCAAAUAUAUUUCACCAUCGUUCAUUUCAAUGAUGUCAUGAAUCAGUAAUCAAAUGUACGUUUAUUACUCUCAUGAGCUAGUGAAAUCAUUGUACUUAAACACCCAACGCUCAAAUAGAUUACUUAACGUUAAACAAUAAGGGGGAGCAACGUUGGUGCUCCAGAUCAUGUCAUGAACAAUAAACAGGAGUGGAGACGUUGGUGUUCAGCACAAAACUCCUCAAGAACUCAUUUAAGCCACAACAUGUCAUGAACUCACAUGCGCGCAAACAUGAUAUGCAGUCGAGUAAAUAAUGCAAGAAACAUUUCAAAAGUACUUUGGAAACAGUUUAGAGUCACUCACCUCCACGGCUCAGAAACCAUCCAUCAUAUAUCAUUACCUUGCCCGAGUCCAAGCUCUAAUCACAAACUCAAAGCAAUCGUACAUUCUCAAAGUUCGGACAGCAUUUUCCCAUAAAUACUUCAUUUCCAACCUACAAUAUAUUACCAAUCACACAUACGGUUAAUAAGCAAUAAAAUAUAUCUAAUUAGGCCACAAUAUCCCUCAAUCAAUCCCAAAGUCACACACAAUAUCAUCUCAUUUCAAUAGCCAUUCUAUAGGCUCAAAGUCAUACAAGUACAAAAUCAAGCUAACGACAUGUGCGGAAAUGAAGUUUAGCAAAAGGACAGAUUUGACGUGAUUUUGCGUAAAGGACACAGCCGAGGCUACACUUGUUGGAUUGAGGUGAAUUUAUACCGUUUUGAUGCUAAGACAAAGAGCUAUAACUUUCAUGAAAAUCACUCAGUCCAGUUCUCACCCUAACUAGGUCAAAUUUACCAAAAUAACUCCAGAUUUUCCAGUUCGAGAUUCACUGCAGAAAUCAACUAGCAGUUCUGAUUCAUUCACUCAUAUCUCAGCACACACAAAUCCAAUUUAGGUAAUUCCAAGCCAUUUGAAAGCUAAGAUACAAGGCUAGAAUUCUUAAGAAGACAUCAACAACCAAUUCGGUAAUGUUCAUGGUCUAACUAACCAAUUACAUAAGCUGAUUAUCAGUUUCGGAUAGAAACAGGGUAGCAGGGGUAUUUCGGUCUUUUUAUAGGCUACGUUGCUCCGAUUGAGCUGAUAUUUUGCAGGAAACUAUGAAACAUUAUUCUCUACAACUUUCAUGUUUUGUGCUAAGCCUAAUUCGGCCUCUAACAUAAGCAAACAGAAACAGGUAAAACUGAAAACAAGAUUUUCAAAAAUCUGGAAUUUUCUCAAAUCACCAUAGAAAUCUCCAAAUCUUCCAUACAAACCACAAAAGUGAUAUAUAAACCAUCAUUAACCCUUAUUAGCAUCUUACAACAUCAAAAUCAACAUUUCUAUUCAAUUGCUACAAGCUUUUACAAGAAUUCAAGGCUGUUUUACCUUCCAAAGGUUGGUUCACAAGGUUGCACUUCAAGAACCAAGGUUGGAUGAGUUGCACACAACCAGAAUUUUUUCUCUUGUUCUUUUUCUUAUGUCUCUCGGUUUUCCUUUCUUCAUUUCUCCCACAAGCUGGCCGAAACUUUGCUUGUUUCAUUUGGCUUUUGUCUUGCUAAGUAGAUUAAUACUAAGUCCCUUGGUCAAAGUCCACUACCUUUUUGAUUGCCAAUCACAAUUAAUCUUAGGAAUCUCAUGGAACCUUUAGGAAGCCUAGCAACUUGUAAUUAACCAAAAGUCACACUAUGGCCCCAAUAACUUUUAAUCUUUGCAAUUAACUCUAGCACCUUGUAUAAUAAUAAUAACAUUUAGCACCAAAAUCACUUAAUCACCAACUUAUAUCGCACUAGCAGGUCCCACGUUGAUAAUACACUUCAAACUUAACGUGGACUAACUUGUAUCAAGGAAAUGAUUUGAAAACCAUAUUCCCUUAUAAAAAUGUAUAAGAAAUUAAUAUAUUGAAGAAAGGAACAAAAUUAUAGACAAGGAAACAAAAUAACGUCUAGAAAAUAUAUAAAAAUUUUCGAGUUCUCACACUCAUUCUUUCGGGGCGUCACAAACUCCCCUCCUUAAAAGAAUGUCGUCCUCGACAUUCCAUCUUGUACCAAUCAAGUCAAGACAUCCCACAAGAAUCUCUGAUAUUUCAAACCAAACCCACAGUUCGGCAUCCUAAAUGUAACGGCCCCACUUUCCCCUAAGGCGAACCAGAGGGUUCGGCGGACCGCCUGCCCAGCUCUCGCCGGGACUCAGUCAUUCAUUCAAACAAAUCAGAAAUCAAACCUCAAUAGAGAGCAAACCAGGAUCCAAUUCAUUACCACAGGAGUACAUAGGACACGAAUCCAAAACUUAAAGUAGAACUUAGAUACAUUCCAAUCUCAAAGGACUUGCAAAAACAAAGGGGUACAAAAGUUCUCGAUACUUCAUACAUCCGACCCUUGCCAAAAGCUAGGGCGAGAACCAUAACAAAAGAAAACCAAGAGCUAGACCCCGCUAGUCUAUACCGGCUCUCGUCCUUGCACGCCUUCCCCUGUUAAGGAAAACAAAACUAAAGGGAUGAGCUGGAAAGCUCAGUGAGGUUCCGAUCACAUAAACAAACAAGCAGUUCCACUCAUUCAUUACAGAUAACCAAGAAUUACAGAUACAAGUAUAAGUGAAAGCGAUAAACACAUUCAUUAAAAGGAUACGUGCUCACAAGGAGCCAUUCGUUCAUUCAUUCAUUCUCCUUUCAUUCCUCCCCUACCUUCAAUCAUUUGAAAAUGCAUUUUGUAUCAAUAAAACCCCUCGUUCAUACAUUCGUUCAUUCAUUUCAUUCACCUCGUCCCUGGCUUUUGGCCAGGCUCCACCAGACUUCAUGGUAAUACUCGAGUAUACCGAAUCGUUCACCCAAGUUCCUAGUCGCCCGACCGAGUCCGCUUCUGGCUCGAGACGACCGGUAACAAGGGCCAAUGGCCAGUUCAGCCCAAAAGGCUUACAUUCAUGCACAAGUAACAUUUCAUUCGCUCAAUCAUUAAAAUUUCACAAUCAUUUAGGCUAAGUGCGAUAAAGUACACACUCGCCUCGAAAACUCAUUUUUAGCAAUCAUUGAAAGCAUUUAACAGGUUAUCAAUCGUUUAUACAAGCCAUAUAGUCAUAAAACAUAACAAACAAGGAACACUCACCUAUACACGCAAAAUCGCCCACUUCUCAAUCACCAAUGAAACCUAAAAUGACACAAAAAUCACAUUACAAUCCAUCUAACAUGAUUUAGAUGAAAUCAUGAAAUACCCGACUACUCGCGAGUAAACGCACUAAAAGAUUUUCAAAGUGUAAAGAGGGCAUUUGGAUCCGUGGACAAGAAUAACUAGGGUUUCGUAACCCUAAUGCAAACCCAAACCAAGAGGGUUAUAACAUCUCUAAGAGGAAACACUUAACUCAAAACAAUUCAAAAUUCCAAUAGAGAGGCUAAGAAAACAUUCUUUCGGAAUUGUUUGUAUGGCUCAAAAACAUAUAUUCUCAAGUGACCAAUAAAUGACCGAAGCCUUGAUGAAAGUAAAAGGAAACAAAAUACUUUAACUUCCACCCUUAAAACCUUGCUUAAAAGCAAUUCACUUGUGGUCGUUAAAACCCUAUCUCAAACCAUUAUAUGUUUAAAAGCAAAAGAAACGUUUGAAGUUUCAAACGGAAUAGGUGUCAUGUUUUCAAAGGGUAUAACGGUCGCCUUAUUUGCCAAACAAUAACAUACAAGUUGUAAUAGCAACUUAGCCUUUGAACCUUAAUUAAAAGACCCGAUGACACUUCCAAGGAAAUACGUUCACUUUGAUCCAAAAAACACUUCCAAAACCACUUUAACUCAUUCAAAUUGGCAAGAAAAUAAACGGACGGCAUGUCCCUUGUGUUUACCUAUUUUCCAGCCAUUAAUGGCUUCAUUAUUUUCCUCAAAUCAGUCCCAACAUCUCAUAUAGAGUAAUCUCAUCCAAAAGCCAUUCACUAGGCUUACAAGUCAUAUAAAUACAAAAAAUAAAUACAAAAGUCAAGCUAGAAACAUUUCCGGAUAAAACAGUGUUUGACACCAUUUUGCGGUUUUGGCACCAGAGGCAUUAAAAUUAUCAGAUGGAGGUGUAAGAUACACCGUUUCGAAGCUAAGAGAUAGGGCUACAAUAUUUUAGAAGGUCACUUAAUCCUGUUUCGAGUGCAACUAGGUCAAAAAUACAAGACACUAGUUCAGAACCACAAAAGCAGGUGGACAAUCCACGUUCUGGUUAACAAACUACAAUUCAGUCUACCUAGGUCCAAAUCCAUUGAUUCCAAAGCCAUACGAUAGCCAGGACAUCAGGCUACAUUUCAUCAAAAGACCUCAACAACCAGUUCAGAAGUAUUCCUAGCCAAAUUAGCUAAUUACAGAAACAACUCCCAAGUUCGGAUGAAACCAGGGCAGCAGGGGUAUUUUCGACUUUUCUCACUCCACACUACUCCGAUUGACCUGAAAUUUUAUAGGCACCUUCCAAAUAUCAUUACCUACAACUUUCAUGUUUUGAGACAAGGCUAAUUCAGCCUCUAACUAGGGUGAACAGUGCCGGGCAGAAUUGAGGGUAAUGAAACCCUAGGUUUUCCAAAUUUCCUUCCAAACGAAAUUUUCUUGCAAACAACCAUCAUUCACUUCAACUAGCCUUAUUCUAUAGCAUUUCCAUUCAUCAUACAAGGCCACAUAGACAAAAUUAUAUGCAAACAGAAAAAUCAUAAUUAAAUAUAAAACUUCACCAUAAAACAACCCAAAUCAAGAUAUAACCCACAAAAUGACAUAUCCAACCCUUACAAAUCACAAGUUAACCAUUAUCAAUGCAAGAGAGAACUUUCUUAAUCAUCUUACCUCACAACUCAAGAAGACUAGCAAUUCAAAGCUUCCCUUUCAAAAUCACUCCACCCAAAAGCUUUAACCUUCCAAGAAGCUCACUUGUAUGGAGGGGAUUUAAAAUCUAUUGGUGAAGUUUCAAGAUUGAAGCAAAAAUCAAAGAUGAAGAAUGAAGAGUUUUCCUCUCUUUGCUCUCAAAGCUCACGGCUGACAAGAAGAGGAAAUGGAGAUAUUUUGGCCAACCAAAGAGAUAAGAAGGAAAGAAACAGCCGGUCAAAGCUGUUGACCGGCUGUGCCACGUCAGAAUCCGGCCAGAAUCUGGCCGGAUUUCCGGCCGGAUUCCUGGUCGGAUACUGGCCAGAGAGGACGAACAUUUUUUUCAAAAUUGCACCACAAUCCGGCCAGCAAUCCGGCCAAGAACUGGCCGGAUUUGCGGCCGGAUUCGACCCCCUUCAGAUUUUCUCAAAAUUUUUUCCUCUUUUCCGAAUUCGAUUGUCGCGCUCAACCGCACUUCUAACACAUACACAUAUAUACAGAUCUCAUACAUGAUGCACAUAACAACUAGGCCUUCCUUUGUUCCAACGAUUAGUUAACAAAUUUGCACUUAAGAGGAGAAAAGGAGAAGAAACAAUAGACUAAGGAAAUAUGCAAAUUUUAGGGUUCUCACACUCUCCCCUCCUUAAAGAAAUUUCGCCCUCGAAAUUUUUACCUUCAUUAGCCUCAGGCGAGUCCGGAACCGUUCGAUUGUCUAAUGCAUAUGCUUUGGCCGGUACAUUUGUUCGGUUCCCUCUUUCUUUCACCGGUUUGGAUUUAGUUCCAUCCAGUGACUGAGUACUACCCUCCCGUGAAUGUCUCCUCGGACAAUUGCUCACAUGAUGCUCACUGCUUCCACAGACUAAACAUUUUCGCCCUUUCCGCCAACAAGCAUCUUCGGUGUGGUUGGCCUUUCCACAAUAGCUACAAGUCAAUUGAGAAGCCAUCUUUUGACUUCCUUGAGAAAUCUCCGCAGGUCCUAUGUGGCUUCCUUGAGUAGACCUUUCAUUUAACGCCCCUAAUGUCCAUGGUGGACGGAAUAACUGGCUCACCUUCUGCACUUUAGAGGGUGCCACUGUUUCACUAAACUCUUCCAAUCCACUGCCCGAUGCACCCCUUUUUCGAGUUUGAGAGGCCUUUACUUGUGCCUUUGCACUCUCGAUUCGUUGAGCCUUCUCAAGGGCCUCCAUAAAAGUAUUUACUUGCGCUGCUGCCAACACCUCCUGGAUGUCCAAAUUCAGUCCCUGUAUAAACCGUCUUACUCUUCUCCGUUCGGUGGCUACCAGUUCAGAAGCGAACUUGGAUAACCUGGUAAAUUUUGUCUCAUAUUCGGCCACACUUAAUGUUCCCUGGCGUAACCCAAUAAACUCCUCCUCCCUCCUUUCUUGGACUAAAGGUGGGAGAUACUUCUCGUUAAAUUCUCUUACAAAAUUCGCCCAUGUCCAGACAGUCUGUUCUCUUUCCCACUUUGUUCUAAUUACGUUCCACCAUGCCCGGGCCGGUCCCUCAAAUUGAAACACUGCAAAGUUCACUUGCCUUUGCUCGGUGUAGUUUAAAGCUAUAAAUAUAUUCACCAUGGCCUCUAACCAUUGCUCAGCGAUAUCCGGAUCAGGCCCUCCAGCGAAUUUUGGAGGUGCAAACUUUUGGAACCUUUCAAGAGCCUUAUCUUCGCCCAUCUCAGGGUUCCGGGGUUGAUUUACGGGUAUUUGACCCUGUUGAUCUACUAAUCUUGCCAAGAUAUCCGUCAUUUGUUGCAUUGCCGUCGCCAUUUGGUCUCCGGCUUCAACCCUCGGUCCUUACUCUUGUGCGGCGGACGUUUCCCUUUCUACUCUAGGUUCUGGAGUCCGUUUAGUUCCACGGCCUCGACCACGUCCCUGACUACGUCUCCCGUCCAUAUUUUCCUUCCCUCUUUUUUUCCAACAGUAAUUUAAUAAAUAAAAGCGAUAAGAUGACUACGGCAACCAAAAAUCGAGGUAUCAAGUACACAAGUAACAUAUUUGCACAUAACACCCCACAUAUAAAGUGAAUUGAGGAUCAAUUUCACAAGUACGCAUCAAGUCAGGGAAAUAUUCAUGUGCACAAUUACAGCAAUGGACGGCAUAUAAUAAGAAUAUACGGGCGAAUCAAACGAGGAGGUGAUGUGUCAACCCAGUCUCAACUAAGGUAACCCCGUUCGAUCCCUCACAUCACUUACUAUUCAAACCGGAUAUCUCUAAAUCUCUUGUACUCAUUUCAGUCGAACAAAGCCUGUUCAUGCUCCCAAAAUACCGGUCUCGAAUACUUAGCACUAUCUCAACUCUGGAGUACUCGGGUACGAGAAUCCGAAAUAAGAUAAUUCACCUCUCGAGCUGGCCAGUCCCAAGAGUAAACCAUCCACAAUCGAAAUUCCUCCCAGACGUACCUAUCUAUGGUCCUCACACAUAUUACAAGAAAAUUUCAAACCUAUAACAUUCACAAGUCAAAGCUUAUGCUCGAACGAGCACUUAGUCCGUCAUACCUAUUCACCACUCGGUCCAGGCUCACUACGCGCAGAGACCACGCGAAGCAGGCUCUGAUACCAACUGUAACGGCCCCACUUUCCCCUAAGGCGAACCAGAGGGUUCGGCGGACCGCCUGCCCAACUCUCGCCGGGACUCAGUCAUUCAUUCAAACAAAUCAGAAAUCAAACCUCAAUAGAGAGCAAACCAGGAUCCAAUUCAUUACCACAGGAGUACAUAGGACACGAAUCCAAAACUUAAAGUAGAACUUAGAUACAUUCCAAUCUCAAAGGACUUGCAAAAACAAAGGGAUACAAAAGUUCUCGAUACUUCAUACAUCCGACCCUUGCCAAAAUCUAGGGCGAGAACCAUAACAAAAGAAAACCAAGAGCUAGACCCCGCUAGUCUAUACCGGCUCUCGUCCUUGCACGCCUUCCCCUGUUAAGGAAAACAAAACUAAAGGGAUGAGCUGGAAAGCUCAGUGAGGUUCCGAUCACAUAAACAAACAAGCAGUUCCACUCAUUCAUUACAGAUAACCAAGAAUUCCAGAUACAAGUAUAAGUGAAAGCGAUAAACACAUUCAUUAAAAGGAUACGUGCUCACAAGGAGCCAUUCGUUCAUUCAUUCAUUCUCCUUUCAUUCCUCCCCUACCUUCAAUCAUUUGAAAAUGCAUUUUGUAUCAAUAAAACCCCUCGUUCAUACAUUCGUUCAUUCAUUUCAUUCACCUCGUCCUUGGCUUUUGGCCAGGCUCCACCAGACUUCAUGGUAAUACUCGAGUAUACCGAAUCGUUCACCCAAGUUCCUAGUCGCCCGACCGAGUCCGCUUCUGGCUCGAGACGACCGGUAACAAGGGCCAAUGGCCAGUUCAGCCCAAAAGGCUUACAUUCAUGCACAAGUAACAUUUCAUUCGCUCAAUCAUUAAAAUUUCACAAUCAUUUAGGCUAAGUGCGAUAAAGUACACACUCGCCUCGAAAACUCAUUUUUAGCAAUCAUUGAAAGCAUUUAACAAGUUAUCAAUCGUUUAUACAAGCCAUAUAGUCAUAAAACAUAACAAACAAGGAACACUCACCUAUACACGCAAAAUCGCCCACUUCUCAAUCACCAAUGAAACCUAAAAUGACACAAAAAUCACAUUACAAUCCAUCUAACAUGAUUUAGAUGAAAUCAUGAAAUACCCGACUACUCGCGAGUAAACGCACUAAAAGAUUUUCAAAGUGUAAAGAGGGCAUUUGGAUCCGUGGACAAGAAUAACUAGGGUUUCGUAACCCUAAUGCAAACCCAAACCAAGAGGGUUAUAACAUCUCUAAGAGGAAACACUUAACUCAAAACAAUUCAAAAUUCCAAUAGAGAGGCUAAGAAAACAUUCUUUCGGAAUUGUUUGUAUGGCUCAAAAGCAUUUAUUCUCAAGUGACCAAUAAAUGACCGAAGCCUUGAUGAAAGUAAAAGGAAACAAAAUACUUUAACUUCCACCCUUAAAACCUUGCUUAAAAGCAAUUCACUUGUGGCCGUUAAAACCCUAUCUCAAACCAUUAUAUGUUUAAAAGCGAAAGAAACGUUUGAAGUUUCAAACGGAAUAGGUGUCAUGUUUUCAAAGGGUAUAACGGUCGCCUUAUUUGCCAAACAAUAACAUACAAGUUGUAAUAGCAACUUAGCCUUUGAACCUUAAUUAAAAGACCCGAUGACACUUCCAAGGAAAUACGUUCACUUUGAUCCAAAAAACACUUCCAAAACCACUUUAACUCAUUCAAAUUGGCAAGAAAAUAAACGGAUGGCAUGUCCCUUGUGUUUACCUAUUUUUCAGCCAUUAAUGGCUUCAUUAUUUUCCUCAAAUCAGUCCCAACAUCUCAUAUAGAGUAAUCUCAUCCAAAAGCCAUUCACUAGGCUUACAAGUCAUAUAAAUACAAAAAAUAAAUACAAAAGUCAAGCUAGAAACAUUUCCGGAUAAAACAGUGUUUGACACCAUUUUGCGGUUUUGGCACCAGAGGCAUUACAAUUAUCGGAUGGAGGUGUAAGAUAUACCGUUUCGAAGCUAAGAGAUAGGGCUACAAUAUUGUAGAAGGUCACUUAAUCCUGUUUCGAGUGCAACUAGGUCAAAAAUACAAGACACUAGUUCAGAACCACAAAAGCAGGUGGACAAUCCACGUUCUGGUUAACAAACUACAAUUCAGUCUACCUAGGUCCAAAUCCAUUGAUUCCAAAGCCAUACGAUAGCCAGGACAUCAGGCUACAUUUCAUCAAAAGACCUCAACAACCAGUUCAGAAGUAUUCCUAGCCAAAUUAGCUAAUUACAGAAACAACUCCCAAGUUCGGAUGAAACCAGGGCAGCAGGGGUAUUUUCGACGUUUCUCACUCCACACUACUCCGAUUGACCUGAAAUUUUAUAGGCACCUUCCAAAUAUCAUUACCUACAACUUUCAUGUUUUGAGACAAGGCUAAUUCAGCCUCUAACUAGGGUGAACAGUGCCGGGCAGAAUUGAGGGUAAUGAAACCCUAGGUUUUCCAAAUUUCCUUCUAAACGAAAUUUUCUUGCAAACAACCAUCAUUCACUUCAACUAGCCUUAUUCUAUAGCAUUUCCAUUCAUCAUACAAGGCCACAUAGACAAAAUUAUAUGCAAACAGAAAAAUCAUAAUUAAAUAUAAAACUUCACCAUAAAACAACCCAAAUCAAGAUAUAACCCACAAAAUGACAUAUCCAACCCUUACAAAUCACAAGUUAACCAUUAUCAAUGCAAGAGAGAACUUUCUUAAUCAUCUUACCUCACAACUCAAGAAGACUAGCAAUUCAAAGCUUCCCUUUCAAAAUCACUCCACCCAAAAGCUUUAACCUUCCAAGAAGCUCACUUGUAUGGAGGGGAUUUAAAAUCUAUUGGUGAAGUUUCAAGAUUGAAGCAAAAAUCAAAGAUGAAGAAUGAAGAGUUUUCCUCUCUUUGCUCUCAAAGCUCACGGCUGACAAGAAGAGGAAAUGGAGAUAUUUUGGCCAACCAAAGAGAUAAGAAGGAAAGAAACAGCCGGUCAAAGCUGUUGACCGGCUGUGCCACGUCAGAAUCCGGCCAGAAUCUGGCCGGAUUUCCGGCCGGAUUCCUGGCCGGAUACUGGCCAGAGAGGACGAACAUUUUUUUCAAAAUUGCACCACAAUCCGGCCAGCAAUCCGGCCAAGAACUGGCCGGAUUUGCGGCCGGAUUCGACCCCCUUCAGAUUUUCUCAAAAUUUUUUCCUCUUUUCCGAAUUCGAUUGUCGCGCUCAACCGCACUUCUAACACAUACACAUAUAUACAGAUCUCAUACAUGAUGCACAUAACAACUAGGCCUUCCUUUGUUCCAACGAUUAGUUAACAAAUUUGCACUUAAGAGGAGAAAAGGAGAAGAAACAAUAGACUAAGGAAAUAUGCAAAUUCUAGGGUUCUCACACUAAACUUCAAACCUAGGAUACAGUACAGAGAUCUGAAGCCUAAGCUCUGAUACCAACUGUGACAGCCCCACCUCCCCCUAAGGCGAACCAAAGGUUUCGGCGGACCGCCGGCCCAAAUCUCGCCGGAACUUAGUCGCUCACUACAGUUCUCAAAUAGAUUACAAUAUAAAUAUCAAAUAUACAUCAAAUUCUCCAAUAAUUACAUGUCAUAAGCGAAGCGGAAACAAUUCCCAACUAUACAUAAAAUGAUUCCAAAUCCAAACUGUACAAGAUAUAUGUCAUCCAAUCACGUGAAUAAAUACUACAAGCCUUCCUUCGCCACGAGCCUUGUGGAGGGGAAAUAAAAAUAGUUUUGGGGUGAGUUAAAAGCUCAGUGAGUAACCAAUAAAAUCAGCAAUCAAAUAUAUUUCACCAUCGUUCAUUUCAAUGAUGUCAUGAAUCAGUAAUCGAAUGUACAUUUAUUACUCUCAUGAGCCAGUGAAAUCAUUGUACUUAAACACCCAACGCUCAAAUAGAUUACUUAACGUUAAACAAUAAGGGGGAGCAACGUUGGUGCUCCAGAUCAUGUCAUGAACAAUAAACAGGAGUGGGGACGUUGGUGUUCAGCACAAAACUCCUCAAGAACUCAUUUAAACCACAACAUGUCAUGAACUCACAUGCGCGCACACAUGAUAUGCAGUCGAGUAAAUAAUGCAAGAAACAUUUCAAAAGUAUUUUGGAAACAGUUUAGGGUCACUCACCUCCACGGCUCAGAAACCGUCCAUCAUAUAUCAUUACCUUGCCCGAGUCCAAGCCCUAAAUCACAAACUCAAAACAAUCAUACAUUCUCAAAAUUCGGAUAGCAUUUUCCCAUAAAUACUUCAUUUCCAACCUACAAUAUAUUACCUAUCACAUAUAUGGUUAAUAAGCAAUAAAAUAUAUCUAAUUAGGCCACAAUAUCCCUCAAUCAAUCCCAAAGUCAUACACAAUAUCAUCUCAUUUCAAUAGCCAUUCCAUAGACUCAAAGUCAUACAAGUACAAAAUCAAGCUAACGACAUGUGCGGAAAUGAAGUUUAGCAAAAGGACAGAUUUGACGUGGUUUUGCGUAAUGGACACAGCCGAGGCUACAUUUGUCGGAUUGAGAUGAAAUUUAUACCGUUUUGAAGUAAGACAAAGAGCUAUAACUUUCAUAAAGACCACUUAGUCCAAUUCUCACCCUAACUAGGUCAAAUUUACCAAAAUAACUCCAAAUUUUCCAGUUCGAGAUUCACUGCAGAAAUCAACUAGCAGUUCUGAUUCAUUCACUCAUAUCUCAGCACACACAACUCCAAUUCAGGUAAUUCCAAAGCCAUUUGAAAGCUAAGAUACAAGGUUAGAAUUCUUAAGAAGACAUCAAUAACCAAUUCGGUAAUGUUCCUGGUCUAACUAACCAAUUACAUAAGCUGAUUAUCAGUUUCGGACAGAAACAGGGUAGCAGGGGUAUUUCGGUCUUUUCAUAGGUUACGUUGCUCCGAUUGAGCUGAAAUUUUGUAGGCAACUAUAAAACAUCAUUCUCUACAAUUUUUAUGUUUUGUGCUAAGCCUAAUUCGGCCUCUAAUAUCGGCAAACAGAAAAGGGCAGAACUGAAAACAAGAUUUCCAAAAAUCUGGAAUUUUCUCAAACCACCAUAGAAAUCACCAAAUCUUCCAUACAAACCCACAAAAGUGAUAUAUAAACCAUCAUUAACCCUUAUUAGCAUCUUACAACAUCAAAAUCAACAUUUCUAUUCAAUUGCUACAAGCUUUUACAAGAGUUCAAGGCUGCUUUACCUUCCAAAGGUUGAUUCACAAGGUUGCACUUCAAGAACCAAGGUUGAAUGAGUUGCACACAACCAGAAUUUUUUCUCUUGUUCUUUUUCUUAUGUCUCUCGGUUUUCCUUUCUUCAUUUCUCCCACAAGCUGGCCGAAACUUUGCUUGUUUCAUUUGGCUUUUGUCUUGCUAAGUAGAAUAAUACUAAGUCCCUUGGUCAAAGUCCACUACCUUUUUGAUUGGCCAAUCACAAUUAAACUUAGGAAUCUCAUGGAACCUUUAGGAAGCCUAGCAACUUGUAAUUAACCAAAAGUCACACUAUGGCCCCAAUAACUUUUAAUCUUUGCAAUUAACUCUAGCACCUUGUAUAAUAAUAAUAACAUUUAGCACAAAAAUCACUUAAUCACCAAACUUAUAUCGCACUUGCGGGUCCCACGUCGAUAAUACACUUCAAAUUUAACGUGGACUAACUUGUAUCAAGGAAAUGAUUUGAAAACUAUAUUCCCUUAUAAAAAUGUAUAAGAAAUUAAUAUAUUGAAGAAAAGUACAAAAUUAUAGACAAGGAAACAAAAUAACGUCUAGAAAAUAUAUAAAAAUUUUCGAGUUCUCACACUCAUUCUUUCGGGGCGUCACAGCUAGAACUCAGGUAGUGCUAAAACUUAGGUAAUUCUAAAUUUAUCACACUUGUAUUGUGAAAUUAUAUCAAUAAUUAAUAAGGAGUCAUGUGAUACCCCGACUUUUAGGAUAUUACGGUUUCAAUUUUUUUUUAUUUUAAGACAUUGUUUUGUUUUAAAGGUUAGAAACCCUAAAUUCUAACCAAAAGAAAAAAAAACCCUAAUUUACUUGUGACUAACCGAUUUUCUUAAAUCUCUUAUAUUUUAAUCGAAACCCUAAUUGUAACCAAUAGAAUUGUAAAAUUCCUCACAUUUUUCUUAAACUUUCUUUUAUUUGGCAUUUAUUCCUUUCUAAUAGUUUUACUACUCAUUCACACCCUCAGUAAUUACAAUCCACCAUAGAAUCAAGGGUUUUCCCUUUAGGUUCUUCAUUCGGGUAAAUUAGGAUUUUUUCUGUAUUUUGACCGUGUGCUCACUCGGUGUGAUGUGUGCACUAAAUUUGGUGAUUAAGAGUGAGUUUUAGAUGAUAUUAAGUGUGUGAUUAGAAGUGAUAAUAAUAAGUUAGUGAAUUAUAAGUUAAAACCCUAGUAUACGCGAUUUAAGGAAAAUCGGCUCGAACCAACGGGUACCGUUUGUUAUUGGGUAAACACACCACUUGACCCAUACUUUAUUACUUUAAUUUUCUCAUUUUAUUUCAGCUAAUUAACUCUCAAAAUAUCUCUUACAUCAGCCACAAUAUUUGACCAAGAAAACAAGAGAAAAGAAAAAAAAUUGAGAUAGAUUUUGGUGGUGACAAGUGGAGGCUAUCCAAGCACCUUUGACCCAAACCAAGACCAAGUCUUAUAACCUUUCUUAGCUUCCAAUCUUCUCCAUUUUUCUAGCUGAAAACCGUGAGCUUGAGGGAGAGAGAGAGCAAGAGAAAGAACUCCAUGUCAUCUUGAGUUUGAUCCAUUUGAGUGAGAAAGCAAGAUUCUAAACCGAUUAAACUCUUCUUUGAACACUUGGAAAGCUUGGUGUACAAAAGAAUUACAAGAAGAGGUGGUGGAUAACUCUUAUAAGCAUCUUUGAGAGGUAUAUGGGCUGACCAUCACAUUUAUUUUCCUUAGUCUUGUCUAAGUUGAGUAGUAACUUGUAAUCUUGCUUGUGAUGCUUAAUUCAUGUGAUUUUGGAUGAUUGUAGUGAUGAAUUUUGAGUUAGGGUUUGAAUGGUUCACUUGAAAUUCCUAUUGUUUGGAUGGUAUAUGGUAUAUGUAAGUUUGUAUAAGAGGUUGUGGUAGUGAUUGAAGUAAGAAAUGAAGAGAUUUCCCUUUGAAACCCCAAAUUCCAGAUUUCAGUUUUUCACCUUCCCUGUUCUGACUGGUUUUUUUUUUACUAGGUUAGAGGCCAAAUUAGAUUUAGCACAAAAUAUGAAAGUUGUAUAGAAUGACAUUUUAUAGUUGCCUGCAAAAGUUCAGCUCAAUCAGAGCAGGGUAUCUUGUGAAAUGACAAAAUUGCCCCUGCUGUCCUGUUUCUGUCAAAAUGAUAAUCAGCCUCUGUAAAUGGUUAGUUUGACCAGGAAUAUUACCGAAUUGGUUGUUGAUGCUUUCUUAAGAAUUUUGCCUUGUAUCUUAGCUUUCAAAUGGCUUUGGAAUUACCUGAAUUGGAGUUGUGUGUGCUGAGAUAUGAGUGAAUGAAUCAGGAUUGCUAGUUGAAUUUCACAGUGAGUUUUGAACUGGAAAAUCUGGAGUUAUUUUGGUAAAUUUGACCUAGUUAGGAUGAGAACUAGACUAAAUAGUCUUCAUCAAAGUUAUAACUCUCUGUCUUAGCUUCGAAACGGUAUAAAUUGUACCUCAAUCCGAUAAGUAUAGCCUCAGUUGUGUCCAUUACGCAAAACAACGUCAAAGCUGUCUUUUGUUUCUUAACACAAACUCCAUUUCCGCACAUGUUCCUAGCUUGAUUUUGUAUUUGUAUGACUUUGAACCUAUGGAAUGGCGAUUUAAAUGGAGAUUUUAAAGUUUUAUGAGUGAGCAUAAGUUUUACAAAUAUUUUACUUAUGUCCUUUGGUUUCAAUGUACUCUUUUCACUACCAAAACCAUAUUUAUAUUUUGUACUAGUACGUAUUCGAAUUUUCUUGGAAUCACCUAAAUCUUUGAUAGUUGAAGCAUAAUGUGUUCUUUUGAUUAUAUUAGGGUUCAUCGGUGACUGACGGUAUUAUCCGGCAAGAUAUUUUGGAUAUUAUUUUGCGUAAAUAGAUGAGUGUUCCUUGUUUGUUAUAUUUUCAUUGACUAUAUGGCUUGUUCUUGACUAUAUGGCUUGUGGUGGAUGUAUGAUUACAUGUUCCAUGUUAUCAAGGACUGUUAAAACGAAUUUUACUAGGUGAGUGUGUACUUUAUCGCACUCGACUUAAAUAAAUGUGAAAUUUUCAAUGAUUAAAUAAUUAAAUGCUAGUUGCGCAUGAAUGUAAGCCGUUUGGCUGAACUGGGCCCUUGCCCUUUGUUACUAGUCGACUCGAGCCAGAAGCAGACUCGGACGGGCGAUUUGGUGACCCUGGGUGAACGUUUGGUAUACUCGAGUAUUACCUUGUAGUUUGGUAGAGCCUGGCCAACGUCCAGGAGGGGGUGAAAUGAAAUGAACGAACGAAUGUCAAUGAAAUGAGGGGUUUUGCUUAUAAAAAUGCAUUUUCAAAUGAUUGGAGCAAAAAGGGGAAAUGUCAAGAGAAUGAAUGGACAAACGAAUGAAUGGCUCCCUGUGAGCCCGUAUCCUUUUAAUGAAUAUGUUAUUAUCGCUUUCCAUUGUAAAUGUUUCUUGAAUUAUUGAUACUCUAUGUUUAAUGUAUUGAAUUGAUUGUUUGAUUAUGUGUUCGGAACCUCACUGAGUUUUUAGCUCAUCCAUUUAGUUUUGUUUUCCUUAACAAGGGAAGGCGAGUAAGGAUGAGAGCUCGGUUUAGACUAGUCUAGACUAGUUUUUGAUUUUGUAAUGGUUCUCGCCCUACCUUUUGGCACGGGCUGGAUGUAUGAAGAAUUGAGAACCUUUGAGAUAGCAAUGUAUAUGAGUUUUGCUUUAAGUUUUGGAUUAUGAUUAUACGAAUUCUUGUGAUUUUAUUUCGGAAUUGAUUGAGGUAUAACUGAGUCCCGACGAGAGUUGGGCAGGCGGUCCGCCGAACCCUUUGGUUCGUUUUAGGGUAAGGUGGGGCUGUCACAAGUUACAAAUUGUAUAGAUGGUAUUACACCGAUCAAGAAUGGUUUGUUUUCAUGGUAUGUUAGGAAUCCUAAAUUGCUAAAAUUCAAGUAGUGCUAAAUUUAUGACGCUUGUGUUGUGAGGUUGUACAAGUAAUUAAUAAUAAUGUACAACUUGUGUAAACGGCAUUCUACUGAUCAGGAACACUUUAUUUCCUGUUAUGUAAGCACACAAGCACUAAAUUUGACAUGAUCAAUUUGUUUUCAUGUAAAAGUACUAUACAGUGCUCAAAUGUCACCAAUUCAUUUAGUGUAUUAGAAGAACUUUUAUUUUGUUUAAUAGAAUCAAUUGAAAUCCAAUAAUUAGUCAAACAUAUGUGUUGGACAAUAAUUCCAAUAAUUGCCACAAAGAGGUACACAACUACAACACUAUUCAAUUUUAUUGUAUUCACAAAUUUACAAAAAAAUGCUAUUAUUUUUCUAACAUAGAUGAACUUUUUCCAUCUAUUGACCUUAACAAAAACAAAAGCUAUCUGAAUAUAGUCAUUUGUUUAUUAACUUGCAAGAGGUCAUUUUUUGUGUACAUUCGACUUCAAGCAUCAGUAAGAGUUAGGCUCGUUCUAUUUGGAAUCUGCAAGGUCAUUAUGAUUUCCUUGAAGUUAGCAUUGUACUCUGAAGUACAUAGCUAAGCUGUGUAUAGCAACCAAUACUUGGUAUCAUUUUCCUGCAAAAUUUUUUAACUCCAGUCAUUCAUUUUUCCACAAAAGAUAUUCAAUAUAUAAACAACUAGCUUUGCAGGUUAUGGGAUAUGAGCAAUUUCAAUAAAUCUAAAUGAUGCACAACCAACCUUUCACUCCAGUGAUCUGGUAUUUCAUCAUGAAUAUUAAAGUCGCCAGAAAAUUACAUGUUAUUGGGUGAUAGGUGAGGAAUAUCGACAACAUUGCAGGUGAAACUACUGAAGUCAAUUUCCCUCGAAACUUUGUCGCCAUGAGCAACCCAAGUGCAUAGUUCUAUUUAUCACAUUGGUAAGCAAAAUAGACAAAAUAUUGAAUUGUUUAGGAAAUGACAGGUAAACCAAAGCAGUAAAUGGCAGUACUUAAUCUAGUGAGCGAUAGCUUAAGCCAAAUUGAUUACAAAUGGAAAAUAGAAAGUAAUUGCAAUUAAUUAUUACAUAGAAUAUUUAAAUUCUCAAUUUACAAUAACCUUUCCUUUUUAUGCUUCGCAAAGCCAACUGUGCUAGUAUUUGUGCCAUCUGACCACCAGAAUGUGAAGCUAGUUAUAAUGGUAGUGGGAUCUCUGAAAUGCUUUCCGGAGCCUUUAAUUCAACUGCAUAAAUAUCUAUCGCAUUGCCAUCAAUAGUAAUUACUUGAUCAGACUAGCUUGCUAAGGUUAAUUGUGAAUCAAAAUCACCUAUGGUGGACUUUGUUAGGGGUGCUUCACCAGCCACAUCUCCCUCAGUUGCUAUGGGAUGCUGUUAUAGUCAAAUACAUUCUAAAUGCACUAUUAAGUAUGAUAUAGCAUAUUCAAAACACUCAACAUCAAGAAUAUUCAGUCUAACACAUACAUACUAUAACCCACACUCAUACCAAUCAAAUUUAACUCCAUGAAAUUCAAAUACUAGGUUGCUACUAUACAAAUAGGUAUCAAGUGACAAAUAUUAAGUAAUAACUAUUAAUGAUUCAUAGUGUUGCACUUCCCUUCCCUCUCCUUGCUUUUAUUUUUUCUCUUCUAUUGUCAAUCUUCUUGAUUUUGCUUAAAUAUAAUUAUACUAAUGGAUUACUAAUUUACAACUGUAUGAGAGUAUUGCUACACUGUCACUCUUUGUUCACAUAAAACAAUAGGUAUUCAACAUGAUAUACAAAAAAACAUUGUAACCAUUCUUUUUCACUAUGUCAGGUAUACUGAACAAUAUGCACAUUCGGACUAAUACACAUAACCUAGAAUCUACACCCAUUGCAGUCAAUUUUGAAGUAAUCCAUGUCAACUAGAUUGCUACUAUACAAUAGGUACCAACUCACAAACAUGAAGUAACAACAGUUAAUGCUAGUAUAUUGUGUGCACUUCCCUAUCUCCUUCCCCCUUUCUUUUUAAAUUUUUCUCAUGUUGUCAAUCUUCCAUACAUUGUUUUAAUAUUGUUAUGUUAAUAAAUUAUUGAUUUUCAAUUGCAUCAAAGCAUUUUAAUAUUAUUAUGUUAAUAAAUUAUUGAUUUUCAAUUGCAUCAAAGCAUUGCUUCAAUGUCACUAAUUUGUCACAUGACGUAAUCCGUAAACAACAAAAUGUAUAGGCACGUGUAAUAAUCUUGUAACCAAUUUUUAACAGUAGGUGAGGCACAUUGAACACUAUGUAAAUUUAGCAUAACACAUACAAAUCCCAAUCAACAGUAAUGCUAAUCAAUUGUAAAGCAAUUAGUUCCAAUUACUGAUUUACAUUGCAUCCCACUAUUUCUCCAUUAUCAUUAGUUCAUCUAAAAAAAUAUUUGCUAUCUAACAUGAUAUUAGGACAUACUCAUCUAAAUAUCUUCACCUAUAUAUAUAUAUAUAUCUACUUUUGACGCUUCGUAUGUGUCUCAGUUUAUCCCAAAGUGAUCAGCCAUAAACACCUAGUAAUAGUAUAUACACCAUAAGAUUUGCUUGCUUACCCAAAAAAAUACAACUUUUAAAUUUCCCUAUUCUUUUACAUGCCCGAAACCUCCUCACUUAUUGUGGAAAGUUUCUCAUAUAGUUCGUAUAAUGAAUAUACCAUUCUUAUUAUUGUGGAAACUUAUGACUUCUGUUUAUCCUCUACUAGCAAUUCCUACCAAUAAUUGGUUGGACAGUUGUCCUUUACUUUUUUACAAACACUUGUUGUGCAAAAUUUUCUUUCACUUUCCUCUUUUAUAUGGUCCAUCAACAUAUUUAACUCCUAGUAUUCAUAUAGUUUUCCGAACAAACUUUCUAUUUUAUUUUUUUUAUAGUGUUUCAAUCAAGUCGUGUGCCUAAAACAAGUACAAGUAAACUUGUUCCACAUCAUUGUCAAAAUAUGCAAGUUAUGUGAUAAGCUUGCAGUAUUAUUACCUGGGUAUGUCCCUGCUUAGUUUUUGCUCCGGAUCCCCCAUCUCCCAUUUCACAAUUCAGGUUCAUCUUCCCUAAACUUUUUUAGAUUUCAUACUUUCGAGACUAUCCCUUUUUGCCACUAUUUCUUCCUUCUCCUCAUUGUAAUUUCUGUUAGGUGACAAUGCAUUUCCACCAUUUUUCUUCUUUGCCCCUUCGUCUAAAACUUUCUUAUUCGAUGAUGUUAUUUUGUCCUAUUUUCUAGAGUUGUGGAUGAAUGAAUAUUGGCAAUUAUUUUGGAGGGAAUGCAAGGGGCUUUUUUUGUUUCAAUUACUGCUUCCUGUUCAUUUGGAUGGGAUUCUAUGGAACGAAGUUCUAAGGCUUUGUGACGAAAUCUGUUUAAAGUAAAACAUUGUUUUUUUAUUUUUUGAGCCUUACUAAUUGAAACAAGGUCGUUUUGUCUCUUACUUAUUCCCUUGCGACGUGGCUCUCACUGAGCCUCUUGUUGGAACAUGUGAGAGGACCGCUCCUGAACAAUUCAUCUGAUGACGGACACGGGGCACAAACGGUUGCAGGUGCAACCGUUUGUGCCGGUUGUAUUCAUUUUCAACUACGCGUAACUUCUAUUGCACAUGAUGCAACUUACUUUACACAUGACGUAAUUUUACAACACUUUUUUGUGGGCCCCACACAUGGCGUGAAAAUCGAGUUACAUGCUGUAAUUUGAGCCGCACAAAUUUUUGAGGCCACAUCGUGGCCGUGAACCUUCAGGAACGGUUGUAUCUGACAACCGUUCCUGCCCCAUUUCCUCUGAUGACGGAUACGGGGCAGGAGCGGUCGUCAGGCCGACCGCUCCUGAACGGUCUCCUCACAAGACCCAAAUGUGAGGCGAGAAAUAUUCCACGUCAGAAAGCCUUCAACAGGCCCCAAAAACGAUGCCAUUCCAAACAAAAAAAUGUUUAGCCAAAAUGGGAACAUGACGGACCAAACGGAAGAGUUUCAAUUUUGAAAAUCAAGUUGAAAAUUUGAAUCAGCCGCACAAAACAAAACUGAGGGAAGAGAGGAGGCAUCCUGAUAAAAGUAGCAAUUGACAAAAAAGUGGGUGGAGAAAGCUGGGGUAUGGUGUUGAGUGAAUAAGGAAGAAAGUAAACAGAAAAGUGGAGAGUCGCACAAAACAAAACUAAGGGAAGAGAAGAGGCAUCCUGUUGAAGGCAGUAAAUUGACAGAAAAGUGGGUGGAGCGAGCCGGGGUAUGGUGUUGAGUGAAUAAGGAAGAAAGCAAAUAGAAAAGUAGAGAGUCGCACAAAACAAAGCUGAGGGAAGAGAGGAGACAUCUUGCUGAAAGUAGCAAUUGACAAAAAAGUGGGUGGGGAGAGCUGGGGUAUGAUGUUGAGUGAAUAAGGAAGAAAGCAAGCAGUGCAGUGAGAGUGUUGUAUGCAUUUUGAAACUGGGUAUGUGAGUGUUGUAUCUUUUUUGAAUGUGUGCAAGGCAGGCGGCAAGGUAGAAGCGAACAAAGGAAAUUCAUCAUCUCAUGAAGCCAGAUUUUGUCGUGCAACUUAAUAGCAGAAGCAACUGCGUUCUCUGAAUUCGGUGAAACAUAAAGCAUAUGGUUAAGACCAAGGUAACGUGACUGAAUAUAGUGUGUUAAAUGAGUAAUAUGUAGUUGGUCCAUGCUCAUCAUACAAUCUUAGUUUGCCCCUCUCCUGACCAUGCAAUGUGUAUAAAAUGGAGGCGUAGGGUUGAUUGAGGUGAAGUAGAGGAAAAGACAUAUAUGUGAAUAAUAAAAAGAUGUACCUGGUGUUGUAAGUUAAUUAUAUGAUGUAAGAAAUAUAUUACAAUGAGUAGAAAAUACUUGUUUGGUCCUUAAAACGUAGAAAUAGUAGAAAAUGCCCAGUUGGCUUAGGCAGUUGUCAUUAAUGAAUGACAUAAGGUCCAGUGAACUAAAGAAUGUAGAACCUAAAUAUAAUCAGCAGAGUGGAUGUACAUACAGUUAAAAUAGACUUACAUCAUGUGACCAAUACAUUACAAUCCGUAUAACUUAGUGUACAUAGAGUUCUAUUAGUACAUAGAUAAUGCCGUUGUCUUAAGAGUAAAAGUAAGGUGAUGUGAUUCAUUAAUCGUAUUGAUAAGCAUAAUAAUAGGAUUUGGUAUAUGAGUAAUAUGUGAUUCAUAACACAUUUUGAAUGGUAAUAUACAUUCAUCUUGUCGUUUAUGUAUAUACAAUUCAUGAAAUGUUGCAAAUUAUGGUGUUUGAUGCAUAAUUGAUAGAAGCAGAAGUAAUGGAUUGCAGCAAAUUGACAGAAGAUAAGAUCCCUGAGUUAGGAAUGGAAUUCAACAGUGAAGAGGAAGCGUACAAGUUUUACAACAAAUAUGCCUUUAAAAUGAGUUUUAGUGUACGCAAAGACUAUCUGAAUAAAGACAAAGAUGGUGUGAUCACGUCUAGUAGAUAUAGUUGCUGCAAGAAAGGUGUGAAGCGCAAAUACGAAGGUGAUGCGAUGCCAAAGAGGACACGAGCGCCGACGAAAACGGGGUGUGGAGCUAAAAUGAUUAUCGUGUUACUUAGAGGGACAAUGAAGUACCGUGUGCAUGACCUUGUCUUAGAACAUAACCAUGAGUUGCACAUUACUCAAUGUUCGCACAUGAUGCCAUCACAAAGAAAAGUGAGUGAGGUUCAAGAAUUCCAACCUGAAAUAAGCAAGGAUGCUGGAUUUUCAUUGAAAUAGAGCCAUGAGCUUAUGGGAAAGGAGACAGAUUUUGGAUGAGUAAUGUGGGAUAUAUACGGGAUGGUAAAUAUUUAUGCUACAACAAUGUUAUCGUUAUACAGUUAAUUAAUCCAUAAGUACCAUUCACUAUAAAAUAACAUUAUUGUCGUGUCAAUAAUACAGGUUUCAGAAUCGGAGCCGACAUCGAUUUCAUUUUAUGAACAUAUGUUUAUGGGAUACCGUUCAUCAACUGACUCAGUUUCGGUUAGUAUAAAAUGGGCAUGACUUUAACUUUUAUUAGAUGUUUCUUACAGCACAAUUAGUUAUGAUGAUGUUACAUUGUGUGAUGAUUUUGUUACAGCUGACAUCCCUCCUGAUAUACCCUUUUUGUCUGUUUUAUACAAUUAUUUGGUCCAUACAAAACUCGUAGAAGCAUUCAAUGACCCAGUCAGUGAAUGACCCUCCAAACGUUGUUGCUCCCGAAAUCAAGGAAAGUUCAACGGUAUAUAUACAUUUAGUAGAUAAAAUUUGAUUCUUUUUUCGUAUCGUAGAGCUAUUUUUUCUUUAAUUGUAAUGGUGGGCACCCGAACGCUGUCGAAGCAUGCAUAUUUUGUAGUUAACAUAUAAUGCUUUAUUGACAUAUUAUUUUGUAUUAUUCAAAAGUCCACAGAUUGGCUAAUCAGGAGUCUCAUGGAAGUAUCCCUAUAAAAUGGAUGCACCCCAAAUUUUUUAUAUUUUCUAACCAUAACUCCGUCAGAGAUAUCUUAAUGAUCUGAAAUAUCAUUUUUGUUAUAAUGUCUAGUCCAAUUUAGCUUUGUAACUGAGCAAUAUAGGCAUUGCUAAUGAGUUGUUGACAGUUGAAUAGUUAUAUUAUACAAUGUAUGCGGAGCGUGCAACAAUUUUAGAAUACUACGAUAAUGAUGCAUAUCAUGUAUUUUCACCAUCACCCCAGGUGACAAGCUUUUAUCAUUACCCCACAUAUUUAUGGUGUUUUGUUAAUUGGAUACUUUGACAGCGUAUAUCAUUAACCGUAUGUUUCAUUAACUGUAUUGGCUGAUUUGCCAUCGUUACGCAUAAUAAGAAAGAAAUAACACCCAGGGAUUGCGACUAACUGUUGACGUCAACUCCUCUCAGUUGCAGGUUGAUGAAUGAUAUAUAUCUAUAAUUUUUAUGAAUACAAAAUAAUUGAUUGUUCCAAACAAUUGAGUGCUUGUACAAGCACUUUGUUAUGUUCGUCUAUGUUAAAACUUAGACAUGUGGUUUACAAUUGUAUUAACGAUGAAUAUUACAGAUAGUAUUACAGGCACUUCAAUGGGUAUUACUCCUUUAGUACGGAAAUGAAGUUAUAAUUGGCGUCUCGGAUUGGUUCCACACGACCACAUGCCAAGUAACCGUUUCGCAAAAGAACAUGAUACUUCGUUGGAACAACUAAUUUGAAAGUGGAGUAACUAAUAUUUAAAAUACAACAAAUAAUCAUAACGAGAUGUACAGAUUGAGUUACAACGAGUUAGGUGUAUGUUACAAUUCAUUACAACUAAUGAAUUAGCAAUCGGCAGCUUUUUGUCUUCUCUAGUUAAAACUAGUGAUAUUACAACUAGUAAUUUUACAACUAAUGAUAUUCCACGAUGUUACAAUGAGUGAUACUAUAAUUAGUUAACGUCCGAUGAACCUUUCCUCUUCUCUUGUUUGUGCAAUUGCUCUUAGCACAAAUAAUAAUUCCCUUCCCUCUCCCCCGACACAUUAAAUUUCUUAGACAUUUUAUUAAAUGCUCUAGUAAUUUGCAGUUAGGGUUGUCUCAAACACUUAAUUAAUUUUCAUUGUUGUAACUAAGAACGAACAAAGCUGUAAGUAAGAACGCACGAAUUGUAACUAGAUAUGCACUUUGGUGUUGACCAUCAUAGUGAGUUGUUGUUGUUCCACUAUGAAAUAUGAAGUUCAUGUAUUAAGGUAACCAUACAAUCUCGUUAAACUUAAUAGACAUAAUAUUUGGAAGUAGCAAGGUGAUUAUGUUACAAGGCUCCGAUGUUACAAUCUCAUAUGCAGCUACAUUUGUAUCAUACAGGCUUACUAUCACAUGUGUUGGUAGAAUGUACUCGGCUGAUCGCAGAACGGUGCUCUUAUUUGUUGCACGUGUAGAUUUACUUUAUCUCAAUGUCAAGGCCUCCUAAAAAGCGAAGAACAUGCAUUUCAUAUGAUUUCAUAUCUAUCGUUGUGUAACAAAUUGUAAAUCAAUUUGUAAUAGUUUUCAAACACAUUGUAACUAACAGUUUUCAAAUACCACUGUAUUAAUUUUCGAACACACUUUAACAUUCCAUUAACUAUUUUGUAAUCAUCUUCAAAUAUACAGUAACUUACCAAUAACUAUUUUGUAACACUCUUUAAACACACUGUAACUAACAGUUAUAAUAAUAGUUUUGUAUUAAUUUUCAAACACUGUAACACUACAAUAACUAUUUUAUAACACUCUUCAAACACAUCGUAACUUUCCAAUAACUAUUUUGUAAUACUCUUCAAGCACACUAUAACUAACAGUCUUCAAAUAGUUUUGUAACACUCUUCAAAUAUAGUGUAACUUUUCAAUAACUAUUUUGUAACAUAAUUUCAAACACACUGCAACUAACAGUCUUUAAACAGUUUUGUAUUAAUUUUCAAACACUGUAACUUUCCAAUAAUUAUUUUGUAACACUCUUCAAACACACUGUAAAAAAACGAGCACUAAAUUGUAACUAUCUUCAUACACACUGUAACUGUUAUUAUUCAAACAGUUUUAAAUGAAAUCACAUGUGAUUAUUAUCGAUUUAAAUGAAGUUUGUCUAGUUUGUACUUUAUGCAACAAACAAAUUGGUGUGUUAUGACAUCCCUUCCUACAAGUUUUUUAUCAUGACUAAGAAAUGAAAUUAUUUUCUAUAUAGGUAUCAUUAUUAUGGUAUAAACACAGUUAACGUAUGUGUCUACCUUUUACAGUCAUGUUACUUGAAUUACAACAUUAUGAAUAAUACAACAGUACCAACCUUUCCUUUUUCGACCAUAUGACCGCAAUCUAUAUGGUGUUUCUGGGUCAUGCAGCUGUGACAUCGAUGCACUCCCAAUCAAGAUGGUUGCACUAUAGAUUGACUUUCUUCGACAGGUUGUGACAUUUGCCUUCGAAAGGUGGUUGCACUCCCAAUCACUUCACUUUGUAUGUCUCCCUCAACAGUAUGUACCAUCUUAGAAAUCCAUAUCUUAUUUAAUCUCCACUCAGCCACUGUUAUGUAAUAAAACCUACACCAAUUUCAUGCACAAUAACCAUAACAAUCCCUAACCCAUGCACGCAAUUUUGCAAGCACUUGGUGUGCAAAAUUUUCAAUACCUUUCUUUCCCCGUGUUGGUUAUUAUAAUAUCUAUUAUGUGCAACCGAAGGUUCCAGUGCAUUAGCUAUUUUCCACUGUAUUAAACAAUUACUUCAACCAAAACUACAACAAGUAUAAUCAGCCCAUUUGUUCACAACGAUGUAUAUAGCAAAAGAUAACUACAAGUCAAAUUGAUCCACGAUUUAUCUGAUACCAUUGAUGUUUUCUUACCUGUGUUUCUUCUGCUUUAUCUCUUCUUCGGAUCUCCCAACCUUGUACUCCACAAUUCCCGUUCACCUUCUCAAGUCUUUUGAUAUUUGAGUGCCAAUCCUAAACUCUCUCCUUCUGCCACUACUUAUUGCUUCUCCUCGCCGUGAUUUUCCUUCGCAGCCACUCUAUUUCUACUACUUCUUGCUAUUCCUUGUAUAAUGCUGCAAUGUUGUUUUCCUUUUGCUUUUCUUUCUUGCUCUGUUUUGUAGAAUUUUGCAUUAAUGAAUAUGGGCAAUUAUUUUGGAGGGAGUGUGACUUAAUUUUUCGUUUUGAGGAUUCAUUUGGGCGGUAAUGGACCAGCGCUUCAUGAAACGGUCCGUCAACUCUUUUUCUUUUUGUUUGUUCCGUUUCUCCUCAACUAAAAGCUUCCUGACGUGGAAUAUUUCUCGCCUCACAUUUGAGUCUAGUGAGGAGACCGUUCAGGAGCGGUCGGCCUGACGACCGCUCCUGCCCUAUAUCCAUCUGAUGACCAUUUGUGCCCCACAUCCAAAAACUCAUGCCAAAAUAAUAAUCCAAACUCUUGCUUCCAUGUUUGCUUGGCUUAUAAGUUAUGGCCUCAUAUUGGCUAUUUGAUACUUGCUCGGAUUUUUUAUAGGGUGUUGGAGUGGGAACCUUGUUAGUAUGCUUAAUUUAUAUCAAAUUUACUAUAUUUAUUACACAGAUGCAAGCACUCGCAUUUAUUACAGAUACUACAUCUAAACAUUUUUCCAAAUUAACAACACUUAUGCAAAUAAAUAAAUAAAUAAAUAAAAGAAAAGCUAACACCUAAAGCCUCUUAACUAGUGCCUACCAAACCCAUUAAAUUUUUACUACAGAUUUUCCAUGGACUUGCGAGUUAGAAAUUUAAUUGUGUCCAUCUCACAAGUUUCCGCUGCACACUAGCAAUGUUGAUAGAUAAUAGUUAACAAAGUAUAGAAAAUCGUGCAAGGCACGUGCACCCAUCCUAGUUGAUGAAAAUGCAUCAUUCAGUCCAAAAAUCAAAAUUUUUAAUAGGGCCCUCUUUCCUAAGAAAUCCCAAUAGGCAAAACCAACCAAACUUAUUAAUUUAGAUACCCAAUGUGGAUCAUACACAAUUCAAAAUAUGAUAAAUUAUGCACUACAUGGAUUAAGAAAAGACAGGAAUGAAUUUCUUAAAAAAAAUAAAGUCCAAGCUUGAUAAAAAGCUGAAAAAAAAAUCUAAUUAGAGUGGUGGGUUCAUGAGGCAAAUUGUGGAGAGUAACUAAAAUCGGAAGCAAUUACAUUAGAUAUGGUGUGGCAUUUAGGUGCAUGGAGGUGGGCGUUGGCUUGUAGGUGGAGAGUUUAGAUAUAAAAUUAGUGGGGUGGAUUGAUGGAAGAAAAUUUAGGGUGAAAGUGAUGGUGGAGAUUGGUAGGUUGCAACUAGGCCUAUCAAUUGAGUUUUAUGAGUUGGAAUUUAGCAUGUUUAAACUCAAUUCACAUUAAAAAAAAAAAAAUCAUAUUCUUGACCCUAAUCUCAACUCGUUCACAAAUGUAAAACUCAUUCUUGGUCCAAGAAAUGAUUGGGUCAUGAGCCAUGUUUGGUGUCCCCUUCGCUGUCUACAGAUUCCAGUCUAAUGGAGAAAGUUCAGGCUCAACAAUGCCAUAAAUUUAUUGAGUUAGAUAGGCUACAUAGGUAUUCCAUGGAGCUUUAAAUUAUGCUUGUUAAACAGAUCAGAAGCAAUAAUACAGGCUAAAGACGCCAACAAGCAAAACAAGAUGUCAAUGGCCUGCAUUCUCCCUCAAUCAGAUGAGCCAAAAAAGUCCUGAAUGUGGGAAAUUGUCUAGGAGACACGACAACAAUAUACCUGAGCCAACAAUUCAGUCUCAUAAUUUGGCUAAGAAAAACCCAUGUUCCCAAAGACCUUCCAACAAGUAGUAGACUGUAUUUACAGUAAAGAUUAAACCUAAACCUAAACCUAAGCUGGACUACUUUAAUUAUUGCCAAUUCUGAUUCCAUCACCAGCCAUUGGGUUUCUCCGGAAAAGAAAGAAAGGGAAAAAAAAAAACAGCAGUUUUAAGCCACGGGUUCAUGCUGCCUGCCUCAUUAAUUUUCUCGAUAUAACUUUUUUUUCCCCAAAGGGUUCUCGAAAAACUAACACAAUAUACACAAGUUACCCAUGUCAAACGUCAUCUCAAAGCACAGCAUACGCGAGCAUGCAUAGGAGUAUAAAAUUGUCCAUAUAGAGACACGACAUAUAUCCAUUGAACCAAACUUCUGUUACUUUUGUGCAAGUACAGAAAAGAUGCAUACAAAUGAUCAUUUAUCUUAUACUGGAAACCAAUAAUCUUUCAUCACUACUAAAACUGAAGGUACAGAAAAGAUGCAUACAAAUGAUCAUUUAUCUUAUACUGGAAACCAAUAAUCUUUCAUCACUACUAAAACUGAAGGUUAAUACAAAAGUCUAGUGAUACACCAAAAACUACGAAAAGGAAGAUGCAGAAUUCAAACUCAAUCAACAGUUCAAGAAAAUGAGGUCGCAAUUGGAGAGAUGACUCUUUAAGUUGAAACUAUACUAAUAAUCCGAAAUGGCUAAAAAUAUAUUUGAAAUAAAUCUUAAGAAAAAUCUUUCCUUUUGAACUCGAUAGUGCCUACAAACACAAAACACCACCUCUUCAUUUCACGGUGGCAUGUCUCCACAGAAAUCAGCAAAAGCCACACGAUAAGAGAUUACCAUCUAAUGAUCCCUUAUAUUAAACUUUUCAUGCUAUAUGACUUGCUGGUCUGUAAAACUCUCAUGUACCACAAAUAAAUUCAAAUCCCAAAUAAUUCCAGAUUUAGAAGGUGAGUAUACUUGAUUGAUAGAUCAAACUAUUCAUUGAUCCAUGACCCAUGCACAAUCAUUUUACCAAUAUCAUGACAUUGAUCAAGGAAAAAAUUUCAGCCUAUAAUAAACUGUCACAUUAACAAACUUCAGCACGUCAUUGAACACAAAAAAAUCCAGGUACCAAAUAUGCUAAAUUUGGAAAAGAUAAAAGAAUCAUAUUCCACAUAAAUCUGCACUCAUAUUUAACUCCCUUGAAUGAAGCAUCUGGAAAAUAUGCUUGGCAAUUCUAUCAUACUCCUUUUCACUAACUCAACAACUACCAACAACUAAGAGAAAGUGUGAAGGGACAUUGUGGAGUAUCAGCGCUCAGUUCAGGUAACCUUGAAGACAUACUAUCAACCCAAGCCACUUCAAAGAUAACUAAAUGAAUCUUUUUUUCAAUUAUUGUGCAAAGAAAAUGCAAGAUACCUGCUAACAAAUUAUGUCUGCAUCUGUCUAUGGAAAUCUUCAGCAAAAACCAAAUGUUGAAACAAAGGCUCCUUUAAAUUGAACCAAUUAGAGGACUAACUCUGCCACCUAACUCACAGUCCUACCAAUUAUCAGUAGAAGAAUUUCAAAAGUUACACUUCUCAGCUACAGUAGGCAAGUAUACAACAUAUGAUUUAUGGAUUAGUCAAUCCAAGACUACUGAAAAAUUAAUUACCAUAUCAACCCUCUACCAUUUGAUCUAGCAUGGCCAACAAUGUUCAGGUGCGUACACUAAAUUGCACUGGAGAUAAAAACAGAUAAUAUGCGCACAUUCUUCACCCACAGACAAGGAAAAUCUGAGAAAGGAAUAUUCAACUCUUAUUGAGAAUAAGUUCAUCUGAUGAAGGUUUACACAGGAUCUGUAUUCCUGCUGACUAUUUUCAUCAUCUAAGAAGCCAAAUCUCAUAAUUGGACCUUCCAAGUUCUUCUCUCCAGCUGCCAUUAAAUGUUACACGUAUAAAACCAUGAAACAACAGCUCAAUAGGCUGUUAAAAGUUUUAAUGCUUGGACAAUCAUGUAAUACAUGCAACCAA
rnacentral:lncRNA from 1 species